rnacentral:lncRNA from 1 species
UCGCACUCACUUACACUCGCACUAAAGUCUAUAAAUACCGAGUGCGUAUUGCCUUUCCAAUCCAUCCAGCAGAGAAACAAUAUCUUUGAGAGUUACUUUUCAGUAGAAAGUCUUUCACCUCCUUUGCUUUUGUGUGAGAAAAAUGGCUUACUCCAAGACUUUCCUUCUCAUUGGCCUUCUCUUUGCUGUUGUUCUCAUCCUGUCCUCUGAGGUUUCAGCUCGGGAUCUAGCUGAAACAUCCCAAACUCGUAAGUUAAAUUUCUUUUAGUAGAUGUAAAUUAAUGGCAUGUUAUGUGUUCAUAUAGAGAUGCUUUAUUAACUUAUUUAAAGUAAUAAAUUUCGUUUUCUUAAAUUAUGGCAGAAGUGAGCGUGGAGGAUGCGAAGUACGGUGGGUAUGGACACGGGUACGGCCACGGAAAAGGACAUGGGUACCAAAAAGGACAUGGGCAUGGGCAUGGGAAACCUGGUCAUGGGGGACCUGGCCAUCCACCUGGUCAUGGUGGUGCUGGUGAGGAUGUGGAAGAGGGGACGCAGAAUUAGUGUAAUCAAUCCUUAAUUAUGUGGGCUACGCAUGAUUAGGGUGUGUUUUAUGUAAGUUUAUGAAAGCGUGUGUAUCAAUAAGGCAUGUGGGCUUAGGGUUACUCUCUAAGACCAGCAUGGCUGUGUUGUAGCUUCUAUGCUUAAUAUAAUGCUUUUUCAUGUGCUGUGCUAAAAUGGAGUAUGAUGAAUGCCGUCGGGUGAUCUACCCUUUUUUUUUUUCUUGGGAUUAUAUUAUUUACUUCGGAGUAAUUUUGUUGAGAUAUGAUUUUGUGUAAAUAUACUUACCAUCAUUGGUUUCAAAUUAUAUUAGUUUAUACCCUCACCAACAUACCCACCUCAAAUCUUUACCUAAAAUUGAUCUAAAAACCUAAAAUUUAUCUAAAAAGUAAAUUGUGAACAUGCGAAAUUUAAAACCAGCAACAACUUAGGCUAUGUUUGGUUUUCGAAAAAUUUGAGGAAAAUGUAAAGGAAAGAAAAUAGAGAGGAAAAGUAAAAGGAAAGAAAAGGAAAAUAAAAAAUAGAGUUAAAGAUAAUAAAUCAUUUUUAUUUGUUACUUUAAAUUUAUAUUAUUUAUUUUAAUUUAUCAAUAUAAAAAUUAAAUAAUUUUAAAAUAUAUAAGUUUUUAAUUAAUUUUAAUUAUAUUUAAUUUUCUUUGUAAUAUUUUAUAGGAUAAUUAAAUAUGAGAAAAUCAUUUUUUAUCAUUUUUUUUUUCUUUUGUACUUUUCGGGAACCAAACAUAACUUUAGUGUAUUUACACUCAACCUUAAAAGUAUAAAUGAGAUUAAUUUUUAUUUGGAAUUAUUGGAAUUUGGAUUUGAAAAGAAAGAAAUUUUUUUUUUGAAUUGAGAAAAAAAUGAAGGUAAAAAGUAUAAUAACCAAUUAUAUAGUUAUAAAAAGAAUUUGCAUGGUAAAGCCUUUUAUUGAGAGGUCUUAGUUUUCUUUGAGAUAUUUUAAGUUGAAGAUUAUUGCAGUCAAUCCUAUUUUGUGGGUUAUUUAUAUAAAUUCAUUGAAAUUGUAGCUCGGGAGUAAAUGAAAUACAAAUAGGAUAUGCAUUCUCAGUCCUCUAUUUAAGAAACCAAAUGUAGUAUAAAAAAAAAUACUUAUGCAAUUUAAUAUAACAAUAAUACUUCCUAUCCAACACUUAGUCCAAGAGUUACUUAUAUUCCCAUUUUUAUAAGUAUACCAAAUAUAAUUAUUGUUGGUGCACAAUGAAUGAUUACUCGAUUUGGGUAGUUUUUUCCACUGGAUUGGAUGAUUUUGUAAAAAACGAGUCGUUGGAUGGUUGUUUUGGGCAUCCUUCUUCAAUGGUUAAGUUAGUUUGAGAAUUUUUAAGGCAAAUAUUUUGUAUGGGUUUAGAGUGUAUAUCUUUAUUUAUUUUUAACGUUCGAUGUUCUUUUAUAAUAGAGGCAUCUUAUAAUGGUGUUUAUAUUUUAUGAUUAUUAUUUAUUGUAGUUUUAGUGCAUGUUAGAGCAUAACGAUUUAGUCAUUGGAAAUGAUUGAUUAUUUAUAUUAUGAAAUAAUUACCUUUGAAAUGACACAUAAUGAUUGUAUUUAUAUUUUUACCAUUGGAAAAAUAAUUAUUGACUCUAAUUUGGUUCUAUGUUAGUCGGGCGAUACAAGUUGUAUCUAAAUCAUUAAAUGAUGAGAUUUUGAUUAUUGAAUGUGAAUAGAAAUGGAGGUGAUAAAAAUUUAAAGGCAUAAAUAAAUGGAAUUAAUGUAUAUAAAAAAAAAAGAUUUGAAAAUGGUUUAAGUGUUGGCAUGCGAGGGUGUCCUUUGUUAUCUAAGAUCGAUUUGAAGAGAAUUGAGAGGUCGGUGGACAUGAGGACAGAUAUGAGAAUGACGUGAGAUGGGACGUAAUCAUUCAAGAGAUAUCAUGUGAGUAGAAAUUAGAAUGUAGUGAACUUUGCCCAUGCAUAUGGAGUUGAAUUUUAAGCUCAAAUCCAACACCUGUCACCCAUGUGGCACUCUCAAUUGACAUAAUAGUGUUGUGUUUUGGACUUGGUGACGUGUGGAGGGACGUACGUAUACAUGAAUGGGCUGUUUCAGGGACUUUUCUCAAUAGUAUAGUAAUUUAAAAAAGUUAUGCUUAAAUUAUUAUAGUAGAAGAAGUUAUUACAAAUAUAUGGUAGUUUUUGCCACAUAGGAGAAAGGAGAGAGGAGAUAGGAGAGAGGGUGAACGGAUAAUUUUUUUUAAAAAAGGGAACUCGUCUCUUGAAGAGACGAGUUCCAUGAAAAAAAAAUAUAUAUUUUUUAAAAAAAAUUCCUAUUUACUCAAGGGAACUCGUCUCUUGACGAGUUCCAUGAAAAAAGACAAGGGAAAGACGAGUUCCUAGGGAAAAAAAAAUAUUUUUUUUAAAAUAUAUUUUUUAUUUAAAAAAAAUCCUAAAUUAAAUUAUAAAAAAAAUUUCCUAAAGGGAACUCGUCUCUUCAAGAGACAAGUUCCCAUGUAAAAAAAUUUUUUUUUUUUUUAAAAUAUAUAUAUUUAAAAAAAAAAAAUUUCCUUUUUUUUUAAUUUGGGAUUUUUUUAAAAUAAAAAAUAUAUUUAAAAAAAAAAUAUUUUUUUCCCAUGGGAACUCGUCUCUUCAAGAGACGAGUUCCCUUUAGCAAUUUUGAGAAAUUGUUUUUUUUUUUUUAAUAUAUAUAUAUUUAAAAAAAAUAUUUUUUUUACAUGGGAACUCGUCUCUUGAAGAGACGAGUUCCCUUUGGAAUUGUUUUUUUUUUUUUUUUUUAUUUGGGAUUUUUUUUUAAAAAAAAUAUUUUUUUUACAUGGGAACUCGUCUCUUGAAGAGACGAGUUCCCUUUGGAAUUGUUUUUUUUUUUUUUUUUUUUAUUUGGGAUUUUUUUUUUUUAAAAAAUAUUUUUUUCCUAUGGGAACUCGUCUCUUGAAGAGACGAGUUCCCUUUAGGANNNNNNNNNNNNNNNNNNNNNNNNNNNNNNNNNNNNNNNNNNNNNNNNNNNNNNNNNNNNNNNNNNNNNNNNNNNNNNNNNNNNNNNNNNNUUUUAUUUAUUUAAAAAUAUAUAUUUUUUUUUACAAGGGAACUUGUCUCUUCAAGAGACGAGUUCCCUUUAGCAAUUUUGAGAAAUUGUUUUUUUUUUUUUUUUAAUAUAUAUAUAUUUAAAAAAAAAUAUUUUUUUUACAUGAAGAGACGAGUUCCCUUUGGAAUUGUUUUUUUUUUUUUAUUUUUUUAUUUUUUUAUUUGGGAUUUUUUUUAAAUAAAAAAUAUAUUUUAAAAAAAAAUAUUUUUUUUCCCAUGGGAACUCGUCUCUUGAGUUUCCUUUAGGAAUUUUUUUUUUUUAAAAUAUAUAUAUAUUUUUAAAAAAAAUAUUAUUUUUACAUGGGAACUCCCUUUAGGAAUUUUGAGGAAUUGUUUUUUUUUUUUUUUAAUAUAUAUAUUUUAAAAAAAAAAUAUUUUUUUUUACAUGGGAACUCGUCUCUUGAAGAGACGAGUUCCCUUUGGAAUUGUUUUUAUUUUUUUAUUUUUUUUAUUUUUAUUUUUAUUUUUAAUUUGGGAUUUUUUUAAAUAAAAAAUAUAUUUAAAAAAAAAAAAUUUCCCAAGGGAACUCAGGAAAUUUUUAUUUUUUUUAAAUAUAUAUAUUUUUAAAAAAAAUAUUUUUUUUUUACAUGGGAACUCAUCUCUUCAAGAGACGAGUUCCUUUGAGGAAUUGUUUUUUUUUUUUUUUUUUAAUAUAUACAUUUAAAAAAAAAAAUAUUUUUUUUUUACAUGGGAACUCGUCUCUUCAAGAGACGAGUUCCCUUUGGAAUUGUUUUUUUUUUUUUUUUUAAUUUUUUAAUUUGGGAUUUUUUAAAUAAAAAAUAUAUUUUAAAGAAGAGACGAGUUCCUUUAGGAUUUUUUUUAAAUAAAAAAUAUAUUUAAAAAUUUUUUUUUUUCCCAUGGGAACUCGUCUCUUGAGUUCCCUUAGGAAAUUUUUUUUUUUAAAUAUAUAUAUUUAAAAAAAAAAAAUAUUUUUAAAAAAAAAAAAUUUUUUUUUACAUGGGAACUCGUCUCUUCAAGAGACGAGUUCCCUUUAGGAAUUUUGAGGAAUUGUUUUUUUUUUUUUUAAUAUAUAUAUUUUAAUUAGGAAUUUUUUUUUUAAAUAUAUAUAUUUUUUUAAAAAAAAUAUUUUUUUUUACAUGGGAACUCGUCUCUUGAAGAGACGAGUUCCCUUUGGAAUUGUUUUUUUUUUAUUUUUUUUUUAUUUUUUAUUUUUUUAUUUGGGAUUUUUUUAAAUAAAAAAUAUAUUUAAAAAAAAAAAUAUUUUUUUUCCCAAAGGGAACUCGUCUCUUCAAGAGACGAGUUCCCUUUGGAAUUGUUUUUUUUUUUUUUUUAUUUUUUAUUUUUUAUUUUUUAUUUGGGAUUUUUUUAAAUAAAAAAUAUAUUUAAAAAAAAAAAUAUUUUUUUCCCAAAGGGAACUCGUCUCUUCAAGAGACGAGUUCCCUUUGGAAUUGUUUUUUUUUUUUUUUUUUUUUAAAUUUGGGAUUUUUUUAAAUAAAAAAUAUAUUUUAAAAAAAAAAUAUUUUUUUUCCCAUGGGAACUCGUCUGAAGUAGGAAUUUUUUUUUAAAUAUAUAUAUUUUAAAAAAAAAUAUUUUUUUUUACAUGGGAACUCGUCUUUUUUUUUUUUUUUUUUUUUAAUUUAGGAUUUUUUUUAAAUAAAAAAUAUAUUUUAAAAAAAAUAUAUUUUUUUUCCCAUGGGAACUCAUCUCUUGAAGAGACGAGUUCCCUUUAGGAAUUUUUUUUUUAUGGGAUUAUUUUUAAAUAAAAAAUAUAUUUAAAAAAAAUAUAUAUUUUUUUUUCCCAGGGGAACUCGUCUCUUCAAGAGACGAGUUCCCUUUAGUUCCAAAUUGUUUUUUUUUUUUUUUUUAAUUUGGGAAUUUUUUAAAAAUAAAAAUAUUUUUUUAAAUGGAAACCCGCCCCUUGGAGAAAAGAGUUUCCUUGAAAAAUGGUUUUUUUUUUUUUUUUUAAUUUGAAAAUUUUUUAACAAUAAAUUAUAUAAUUUUUUCCAGGGAACCCCCCUCCUGAAAAGACAAGCUCCCCAAAGAAAAGGGGAAUUUUCUUAAAAAANNNNNNNNNNNNNNNNNNNNNNNNNNNNNNNNNNNNNNNNNNNNNNNNNNNNNNNNNNNNNNNNNNNNNNNNNNNNNNNNNNNNNNNNNNNNNNNNNNNNUUUUUUUCCCAUGGGGAACUCAUCUCUUGAAGAGACGAGUUCCCUUUAGGAAUUUUUUUUUUAUGGGAUUAUUUUUAAAUAAAAAAUAUAUUUAAAAAAAAUAUAUAUUUUUUUUCCCAUGGGAACUCGUCUCUUCAAGAGACGAGUUCCCUUUAGUUCCAAAUUGUUUUUUUUUUUUUUUUUAAUUUGUGAAUUUUUUAAAAAUAUAUAUAUUUUUUUUAAUGGGAACUCGUCUCUUGAAGAGACGAGUUUCCUUGAAGAAUUGUCUUUUUUUUUUUUUUUAAUUUGAGAAUUUUUUUACAAAUAUAUAUAUAUAUUUUUUCAUGGAACUCGUCUCCUGAAGAGACGAGUUCCCUUAAGUAAAUGGGAAAUUUUCUUAAAAAAAUAUAUAUAUUUUUUUUCAUGGAACUCGUCUCUUCAAGAGACGAGUUCCCUUUUUAAAAAAAAUUUAUCGAUUCACCCUUUCUCCUAUCUCCUCUCUCCUCUCUCUCACCUUCUCUCCUAUCUCCUUUCUCCUCUCUCCUAUGUGGCAAAAACUACCAUAUAUUUGUAAUAACUUCUUCUACUACAAUAAUUUAAGCAUAACUUUUUUAAAUUACUAUAUUAUUGAGAAAAGUCCCUGUUUCCAGUUUCCAACUAUGUCAUUAAAGGAAGGUUCAUGAUUUUUUUGGAACUUUAAAAUGAUAUGACAAACACAGCGUAGCAUUUUUCUUAAAAGGAAAUCCAUAUAAAACAAUUUAUAUUUCUAAUUACCAAAUUCUUCGUACCAAUAUUUAGAGUGUUUGAUAAUAAUUAUAAAAAAUAUUUAUACUUUUUUUAACACCAAAAUUUUUUUAUCUUUCACAUAUAAAAAAGUUAAAAAUACUUUCUAAAACUUUAAUACAUUCAUUUUCAUUUGAAGUGGGUAAUCGAGGCAAUGUUUGUCUUUUUCUUUUUGAAUUGUUGCUAUCUUUGAGUUAAUCCUUUGGAGCCUCAUUCUACAGUAUGAAGAGAAGAACAAGUAAAAGUGGUCCUCCAUCAGUAAGUUAUUAACAAUUACCCAAUGGCAAGGUGGGAAAUUUGAUAGGAUAAAAAAAAAAAUCCUUAAAUGGACAUUUCAUUCAUUUGAAUAACAUGGAAAUGAAAUCCCAUGAGUGAAAUUUUAAUUCUUCCUAAUUAGGGGUAUUUUAAUUCCAUAGUAUAACUUAUUUUUAAAAUUACUUUUCAAAAAUUAAAAAAUUAAAGACCUUUUUAGAUAAGUUAUUUUUAAAAUUAAUUUUUAUUUUGAUUUUGUAAAACAUACAAAUUUUAGAUUCAAUUUAUAUAAUAUAAAUUAAGGGUGCUUUUGACAAUGACUCUAGGAAGCCUUUUUUUUUUAAUCCUAAAAUGUGUUUUUGAAAAAAAAAUAAUUAGGUGUUUGACAAAUUUUAGGAAACACUUUUAAAAAUUUGAAGAGUGUGUUUGACAUUGAUUUUAUAAAAUAAUUUUUUUUUUUACAUUUUUAAUACUUGAAAAAUAAAAUUUUUAUAGUGUUAGAAAAAUUAAAAGUGCCUCUUAGAAUCACUACCAAAUGGGGUCGAAAAAUUACUUAUAAUGUUUUUUUAGACAAACACUUGAUAGAUGAUUAUCCUAAAAACACUUUUAAAGAAAAUACUUUCACUAAAAACAUUUCUGAGUAGUAACAUUAAUUGAUUUAUUUUGUUAAAAAUAAAUAAUAAUAAUUUCCAAUACUAUUUAUAUGAUUUUAUAAAUAUUAUAAAAAUAUGGAUAUUAACAUAUUAUAAAAGCAUAAUUAAUUUAUUUUGUUAAAAAUAAAGAAUAAUUAUUCAAAAUUAAUAAUUGCUAAUACUAUUCUAUUUUAAAUAAAUAUAAAAACAAACAAAAUUUAAAAUUUUAAGUUAUAAAUGAGCUAAAAUUUUCAAUAUGUAUGCAUUUAUUACUUAAUUAUGAAGAUGACAUUGUGAAUUAUUUUAUUUGAUCUAUAAUUAAUUAAUUAAUUAUUUAAAUUUUGAAUUAUUCUUAAAAAAUUAUAUAUAUGUUUUAAAUUCUUUAAUAAAUCUUAUCAUUUUUAAAAGCAAAGUAAAAUAAAGAAUUGUUCAAUACAAAGUCUUGUUUAAUUUGAAAUUCAUUGUUAGGAAAGAAAAAAAAAUUCAGAAGAACAGUUCUCUAUUUUACUUUGCUUUUAAAAAUUGUGUUUAAAGAACAACAACCAUAUAGUGAUAUAAAUUUUUAAAAACAAUUUUGUUUUUAAAUCACACGACCAAAUAGGAUUUUAUUACCGGGACCCCAGAUCUUUCUGUUCUCAUACCUUGGAUCGUAUAGGUGCAUGUAAACUACUCUAUGCCUUUAGAUCUUAUGUAAUGGAAGCAAAAAAUAAAAUUUUAAUAUUCUAAGAUAUAAAGAAAAGUCAUUAGAAAACUUUACCUUUAAUUUAAACGUUUUCAAAUCAAUUUCGCUCAAUGAAGUUGAAGCUUGAACAGUUCGAAGGUCUCGUACACCCAAGAUUUUCCUCUCAAUGACUCGAAUUACGAUCUUAACACUCCAAAGUGUAGGCUUUGGGAGGGAGGAAUCCUAGGCUCUUUAUCUUUAGAGGUAGAAGACGACUAUCUUUCAAAGUGAUGAAAACCCUAACUCCUAGGGGGUAUUUAUAGAGUUUCCUUAUUAGGCUUAAGUGACUUGAGCCUACCAAGGCUUAAGUGACUUGAGCCUACCAAAGCUUAAGUCAUUUAAUUUAGUCUAAAAUGGGUCCUAAUUAAUUAAUUAACUAUAUAUGUCUAUUUAAUUAAUUAAUUCGCACAUUUUAAAGAACUUGUUUGCUAUUCCCUAUGCAACCUUGCAUAAUUAUCAAAAUGCUCUUAUGCACAAAAGUGAAUUGAGAGUCAAUCCAAACCUCAUAAACCGUACCACCAUGAUAUAUGAGCUCAGAGUGGGGAUUAUUGGGACCAAUAGGAGUAUUGAUUUCCUCAAAAUCCAAAUAUGAAGUUGAUUCAAUAUUCCAUUAAAGAGAAUCAACCGCACUUUUAGUACCUUAUAUAAAUAUUAACGAGACAAAACUCAGGCUUGUGACUUACUAUCCACUGUAUGUAAACUUCUCAUGAACUGAUGUUUGUAAUUUAAUAAGGUAGUAUUAUUAUCUAUCAAGAUUGCCUCUAUAAUCCUUGAGUUAUAGAUCUCAUUUAUCAUGUAAUCAAUUGACAUACUCUAACUCUAAGAAGUAUAUGUAAUGCCCUAAACCCAAGAGUAAAAUCAUAAUUUAAAAUAAUAAAUAAUUUAAUAAGGGUAAAAAUGUCUUUUCUUAUUUAAAAUUCCUACGUAUAAAUUAAAUAUUUUUUAUAUUCUCUACUCAAAAAAUCCUUUUACAUGUAGAUAGAAAAUAUCAAAGAGCGUAGGGUUUGAAUAUCAAUUUUUCAGGUAAGAUUUUAAUUCUUAAAUUAAUAUUUUAUAUUUGUUAAUUAGUUUUAAACACUUUAGAUAUCUUUUUGGAAGAUCUCAAUCUAGAUUAUGGUUUGUUAAAUUAAUUUUUAGAUCAAAAGACUGAAAAUUUAUGAAUGUGGAUUAAUUUAUGAUGAAAAUAUGAAAAUUUAGAAAAUUUUAAUUGAAUAGAAAAAAAUGAAUAAAAAAUCAAUGGAAGAAAAAAAAUUUUAAAAUUUUAAAAUAAAUAAAUAAAUUGUUUGUGGAGGCUUUAGAUUGGAAAAAAAGAAAAGAAAAGAAAAUGUGUAGAUAUAUUUACCAUGUGAAAAAAAUAAUAAAAUAAAUAAAUAAAUAUAAUGGGAGGCGUGUAGGUGGUUUUGUAGAAUGUUGUGGGAUUAAAAAAAUAAAAUAAAAUGAAAUUGGAGGACACCUGUGUUGCCAAAGUGUUGAGUUCACUAUAAGAAAAAAGGGUAAUAAUGACGCUUUUUAGGCGUCAAUAAAUGUAUACGAUGACGCUUCUCGAAAGCGUCCUUUUCGCCUCUGUCAAGGAAUGGGUGCAGGCAACCAUGUCGCUUCUAGACAGCGUCAUUGUUGAUUGGUUUAUAUUAACACGUUAAAAAACGUCAUUAUUGAUCUACCUAUGUUAACACUUACACUAGCGCCAAGGAAUGGCCAAAAUAUCAUUUGUCUAUUUCGACGCUAAAAAAAGUGUCAUCUUAUGUGGAUAAUAAUAUUGAAAAUCCCCUUGUUGAAAUGAUAUAUUUUGUAUGUCCUGUUAUAUAUAAUUUUGGCUGCAUGAUUAUUUAUAAAGUAUUAAACAAUAACUUCAAUAUUAAUAACUACAUCUUCCAAAAGAAAUUGAAUAAAUUUGGGAAUAAUAUAAUGAUAAAGAACUAAUGUCUACAUAGUUAAUUAAUACGCAAAUUUGUAAAUGUAUCAAAAUAUUUACAAGCAUAUUUUCCAACUUCAACAUAUAUAAAACAAGUACACAUGUACCAAAAAGCAAGGUCUCCAAAUUCCUUAUCAAAAAUAAUAUUACAAGAAGAAGAAGAAGAAGCCAAAAGUAUUUAUAGCCAAAAGUAUUUUUGUUUGGUAGCAUAUCCACUCCUGAACUUGAAAUCUUUUACCUGUAUACAUUUAAAAAAAAAAUAAUAGAAGAAACAAAUUAUGUUUAGUUAAUAUACAUGCAAUGAAAGUUAAAUCUAAAUCUAUAAAUGGUCCAUGAAAGAAGUGCAAAUGAGAAUAACUUGGUAUUUAAUGAGAUGUUAUGCUUCAAUGAAGAUGAAAAAUUGUUUAAUUUGAUACUUGUUUAUAAAAUAUUAAAAUACUUUUUUAGUUCAUUAUUAAGUUAGAGGAAACAAGUUAGGCUUUCAAUGGUAUAAAUUCUACAAUAUGGAAUGUAAUAUAAUAUUUUCUUAUCUAUGUCUAACAUAUCAAACUCAUUUCUCAGAAAUAAAUAUAUGAAUAUACCAAUAGGUAUGGUUUAUAAUUAGUUUCAAUCAUAAAUCAUCAUAUCUAGUAAUAUAAGACAUUUAAUAUUAACCAUUUGCAAAUGCCUUAAUUUCUUCUUACAACUUUCCUAUAUUACCAAAUUUAGUUAACUAAUAACAUUCCAUAAGGAAAAAAAGAGUAUUAAACUAAAAAUUAAAAGAGCAUAACCAAGGCAAUAGAAACCUACAAAUCAUUGGUUAAAUGUCAUAAUAACAACCAUUCUAAAACUUGCCUUUAUUUUCAAUUCCAAAAUUAUAACCCAAAUAUAAUAAUUAACCCUACACAAAAAAAAGCUCUCUACCAUCCCUCCAUCCAACAACAACCUGUUGAUGCAACAACAAUAACUUCUCCAUACAACAAUAACAAUUUCUCCAUGUAACAACAACAACAACAACAAUAACAAUAACAAUAACAAUAACAUUGAUGAUCAAUGGUGAUAAUUAUAUUAGUAAUAAUUUGAUUUGUUUAGUCCAAACAUAUAACAAUAACAACUUCUCUAUGCAACAACAACAAUAAUAAUGACAACAUUGAUGAUCAUGAUAUAAUAAUUUGAUUUAUUGAGUUCACAAAUUAUAUGCUUCUUCUCCAUACAACAAUAACAAAAAUAACUUCUCCAUGUAACAACAUUGGUGAUGAUGUAAUAAUUUGAUUUGUUAUAUUGAAAUAGUUUAUGUAUAAAACUAUUAUAUUCUAUCACUAUGGAGGAAAAAAUUACUUAUCAUGAGAUGAGAACUUAUGAGAAUCGUCAAAAUGUGAUCUACAACUCUUACUGGACUGAAAUGAGGGCAUCUGCAUACAUAAGAUGGUAAAUUAAAAAAAUUAGUCCAUUCAAGACUUCAUUAAUAAUGAAAAUCAAGCAUUUUAGAUGUUAAUUUAUACCUUCAGGCAUGGGUAAGAAUCAAUUGAGUUGCCAACAUAACCCACUCAGAUCGUACUUCAUUAAGCUCAACUUCACUAUACGAUUUUUUCCCUUUAAACUAAUAAUUAAUUGUACAUACAUGAUGAUUAGUUAAGUUAACAAAAAAUUACUAAAGUAUAGAAACUAAUAAAAUUUAUUAAUGAGUAUAUACAUUUGUGGAUAGGAGGCUUGGAUCAACAAUUAUAUCUUUCAUGUAUCUCAUCACAUAAUAACCACACUCCACACUUCCUAGUUGUCCUGGGCACUAUAGGCACACAUAUGAAUUAUNNNNNNNNNNNNNNNNNNNNNNNNNNNNNNNNNNNNNNNNNNNNNNNNNNNNNNNNNNNNNNNNNNNNNNNNNNNNNNNNNNNNNNNNNNNNNNNNNNNNUAUCUUACUCUAACCAAAUUAACUUACCACUACUUUUACCCAUGUCGGCUCCCUCUUUGAUGAUCUUUGUUUCUCUGGUGGAUGAAUUCGUAGUGCCCUACAUGGAAAAGAAAAUUAACAUUUUAGAUACUAUGCACUAUAUUCAAGUAUGGAAAUGAAGACACUUACAUGUUAACAAUUUCCUUAAGAUCAUCACAUGGUUGCUUUUGCAUCGGAUCAAGGUAGUACGCAGUCAUUGUCCUCAUAUCCAAUGCCACCAAGACCCAGUGGAAACUAUAAUAGUACAUUAGAUAUUAUUUAGUAAUUAGCAUUGAUUAAGCUAUUUAACAUUAAAAAAAAACUUAAUAUUUUUCAUAACUUACUCAGGGUUAUAUGGAAUAAAAAUGUAGUCAGCACGCUUUGCAUGCAUUAAACGAUUUGCAAUCAACCUUGACCUAUUUUCCUUUGUUGUCUCACCCAUUCCAGCUUUAGAGACUAAAGCUGGAUUGAUAAAAGCAAAUCGUUCGGUGAGCCUUGCAUUACUUAGCUUUUUCUGUAGGUGCCUGUUUAAAUUCCACAUACCUUGAUAAGAAAUGACCAUUUUACUUUUAUAUAUAUAUAAAUUAACACACAUUAGCAAGUUAUAAAAUUAUUUACCAUAUAUAAUAUAUGACACAAUUAGCCGACACUUUCUUAAAUGAAAUUAUCAUAUCCAUGUCUUCUUUCAUAAGGAAGGUCUUAAAACUCUCGCCAAAUACAUCAUUUGGGACCUCCACACCUUGUGCUUUCCCCUCAUUUAGCAUGAGACCUACUAAUGCAUCAAAAUUGUUGAUAUCUUGAGGGUUUUCACCAAUUUUCAAGUCAUUUUCUGUUGUUUUUUGUCUUUUCCCUUUGUGAGAUCCCUAUAAAAGAAAGCACCAUGUUUUCAAAUGAUAUACAUAUCUUUAUAAACUAUUUCAAAUGAAAAUAACACACCUUAAUGAAUUUAGUACUCAAAUUGACUAAAUGGGUUGGCCAUAAAACUUGGUAGCCCACUACCGCUCCAAUUGUUGUAGCUUGUCCAGGAAUGGGAAUAGGAAGUGGUGUAUUUGACUUAUAGGGAGCAUCCAAAACAACUAGGUAGUUGGGCCCACAAUCCAUUACAAUUAUUCCACCAGCCACUGUAUUUUCUCUGGUCCCUACUGCUAACUCACAUUUUCUUGCCUUCAAAAGUAAAUUAAAUUGUUAAUUUCAAUAUAAAAAAGAAUCAAUAAAUGAAGUUUAAAGUGCAUUGACUAUGUUAGGGCUAUAUUUAAGACAUAAAGUUACAUAUUUUAUAAGUAAUAGUUGUAGUGGAAUAGAAUAUUACUAGUAGUAAUUAUGCUGUAAUAGAAUCUACCUAAAAUGUAAGUAUCAAUCUAACAAAAAUAAAAGCAAUUGGAAGAAAUUAUUUAUGAAAAUUAUCUAGGAAUUUGUGACAAUUACGUCAUUGAACUAGGAAAUGUAAACUAAAAAUAACACACCUUCAUGUGUGGUUCUAUUUUCACAGGUAAGGUCUCCUCUUCAACUUUACGAAUUGGUUUCUCCACUACUUCUGGUAGAAGCAACAGUUUUGAUUUCAUGUUGGAACUACUCACAUCGGAUUGUGGUGUAGCAACUCCUAUCUGAGAUAGUCUCGCUAACACAUCAGCCUCAAACUUAACUUGACGUUCUUGAGUUGCUUUUAAAAUAUCCCUCACAACACGUUCUGACAUACUAUUGAAAUAUCAUCCAGGCGUGUAGUGCUUCCCUUUAGCUCGAACCCAACCAGUAUACUCAGGAGUACCUAGUGCUUGAGAAAGUAUGUCAUUGCUCCCACUAUAGCUUAUGCCACUCUCUUGAGACUCUUUUAUCAAUUCAUCCUAAAACAAAAGGAAGUUAUGAAGUUAACUUUCAAAUAAGUAAAACCAAAUAAGGUGUUUAAAGAUGUGAUUUUUGGGUACAAAAUGUCUACUUACUAUUUUUUCCAUUACCGGUAGGACCACAUCAUCAUAGUUGCCAUCUUUUUUUUGCAUUGCCCUCUUCCAAAGUAAACUUCUAUCAAUGCUUUCUAUGGAGCCAGCUUCAAUCAUCUAAUAGAAAUGGAAAAUUAAAGAUAGUUAUUAGAUGACACAUGUGGUUUUAUUUCUAUUUUUUUGUCAGAAAAGAAACAAUUAAGAAACCCAUAUAAAAUAUUCCUUCAUUACUUAUACAAUCAUAUAAAAUUAAACCACAAUAAGAACUAACAAAAACUUACCAUCUCUUCUUCAAGUCCAGCAUACCCUUUUCUACUUAGAUGAUGAUUAUAUAUAUGCUUCUUUCUUCUCUGUUUUUGUACUUCCCUAUAUUCCUAAAAAUUAAAAUGGAUGCUUAGUAUAUAUAUGUGGAUGCAUGUAGUAUGUUUAAUGUUAAUUGUAUUUGUACCUGGAAUUUUUCAGACAACCUAGUUUUCACAAAAAUAUUCCAAUCUUCAUCAUCGAUAAAAUGAUAUUCAGCUGGUGGUUUCUUAAGAAGCUCUGGCUGAUCUUUGAAAGGAAGAAUAUGUUUCACAGUCAACGUGUUCUUAAAAGAUCGAAAACAUUUUCCCAAUGUAAGCAUACAAUUCCUUCUACUUUUCUUGUCUAAUGUAAAAGCAAUCUACAAAUUAUAAAGUCAUUAGUUUCUCAAAAUUUGAAAGAAAUAUAGAGAUUGUAGAAAACUUAUUUAUGUUAAAAAAAAAAGUAACCUCAAUAGAGUCCCACAACUUAUCCUUCAAUUGUUCAGGGACAUCUCGCCAUGUGUUAUAUCUGAUUGGUACCAUCGUACGUGCCAAUACACCUAAGUAGCUUGUUAGGUGCACAGAAGAUUCUCCUACAUAGAUACCAUCAACAUUGUACUUUAUGACCAACUUUAUCCCUCUAUUCCUAUUCCUUAUAAUCAUGGAUUUCCUUGUUGUCCCUCUAUAUUUUUUUUGUGAAGGGGUUUUCUCUUCCUUUGAAUCCAUGCCUAUAACACAUCAAUGAGAAAUGAUAAGUAUACCCAUUAAUUGCAAGUAAAAUUGAAUUUUUUAUAACAUGAACUCAUAUUAGUAACAUGAACAUACUAGGAACAUUUUACAUGCUAGAUAACAAUAUUCACAUGUUGUCAUGAAAUAUUUAAAAAUAAUAAUAAUAAAAACUUACUAGAAGAUCCUCACCAAACUUUUUUCUUAUGGAACUAGAAAUCAUAAGCUUUGAGCUGAGACAAAUUGAUAUCCUUGUAUUACCCUUUAGAUCACUCUGAGAUAUGUGUAUAAUAAUAAUCAUGAAAUAGGGAAUCAAUAAAUUUAGAGACAUGAUGAAUUUAAUCCACUUAGAAAAUAAAUAAGCUAUUUACUGAAAUGCAGAAUUUCAAUAUUAACAAGUUAAUGGGAUAGUUACAACCUUCAUAACAAAACAACAAGGUCAUAAAUUUAGUUACAUAGAAGAUUUGUUAUCAAUCCAGAAUCCCUCACAGUCUCCUCGAAUGCAAAUGACAUCAGAGUCAUCCAUUGUAUCAAAUGAUUCAACUUGUGCCAAGGUGGUAAUGAGAGGAUGGUGUUCAAUAGAAUUAUCCAUGAAGUCAUCAGAAUCCUUUGCUGAAAAUGAGAAGUCCCUUUCAGGAGUUGACAAAACAACUGACCAUCUUGGAUCAAGUUGGUUUUGUACAUAGAAUACUUGCUUGGCUUGGGAGGCUAAAAUAAAUGGAUCUGAUUUAUGAGCCAUCUUAGUGAAGUCAACUAAUGUCAGCCCAAACUCAUCAACUUUGAUGCCGCUCUUAUUAUCAACCCAAUUACAUUUGAAAACUGGAAUCCUAAACAUGGUAUAAUCAAGAUCCCAUAUCUCAGUAAUAAUACCAUAGAAACAUAGCUCACUAAAUACUGGAUUCUUAUCCUUGGCACUAGAAAUUUGCAUUGUUGUUGCUACAAUGCUAACUCCACUAUUCUGGGUAACUCGUAACUCAUCACGGUCUUUUGUGUUGUACUGACACCCAUUUAUAACAUAGCCAUGAUACUUGGCCACGUAGUGGGUAGGACCAUGUGCCAUCCAUCUUAAGGUUUCAGAUAUAGGUUCUUUGUCAGCAAUGACAACUUCUACCUGUUUGAAUGGACCAUAGUUAUUAAUAUUUUUUAUGAUAAGUGCUAAGAAUGGUGCAAUUUUUAGAAUAAAUUCAAUACCUUUUUUCGCAACCAAUGAGUGAAUGUUCGCAUGUGUUCUUCUUGUAGCCACUUUUGUCUCUUAGAUUGACGAGGAUUGUUCAAUUUCAACCAUUUCAUGUGUUCUCUAUAAGAUAUGUAUAAGAAAGUAACAAUAAGUUUCCAAAAUUAGUUUAAGUAAUCUACACAUAAAAUCAAAAUAGUUGACCCUUACUCGAUAUAAGGUUGGAUGAUAGUUGUAUUUUCCAACACAUAAUGAUGUGCUUGCAACAAAAAAUUACAAUCAACUUCGGUGAUAUGACCUCCAGGAAUAGGCGCCCCAACUUUAUGGUCAACAUUAGUGCUACUAGGAACUCCAAUUGCAUCCACAUUUGAUAAGUACUCUGUACAAAAUUCAAUAGCUUCCUCUGCAAUGUAGCAUUCAACAAUGCAACCUUCAGGGUGGUUACGGUUUCACACAUAACCCUUUAAUACUUUCAUGAACCUUUCAAAUGGGUACAUCCAUCUAAAAUAAACCGGUCCACAAAGUCUCACCUCUCUAACAAGAUGAACCGUUAAAUGAAUCAUGAUAUCAAAGAAGGAUGGCGGAAAGUACUUUUCAAGCAAGCGCAAUGUCACAACAAGUUCAUUUUGUAACUUAUCCAAUGUAGACACAUCAACCACCUUCUUACAUAAAGCAUUGAAAAAAAGGCUCAAUCUAGCAAUAGCAUGUCGUACAUGCUUUGGCAAAAGUGAUCGCAAUGCCACUGGUAACAAUUGUUGCAUCAGUGUAUGAUAAUCAUGAGACUUCAGGCCAUAAAGGUUCAAAUCUUCCAUUGACACAAGAUUUCUAAAGUUUGAGCAAUACCCUUCAGGAACCUUUAACUCAGCUAAAGUUUGACAAAAUACUUUCUUCUCCUUUCUAGACAAUGUAUAACAUGCAAGCGGAAGGUAAGUUCGAUUCGAUUCAAACCUUAGUGCCAGUUUACACCUUAAGCCCAUGUCCAUAAGGUCCAGACGAGAAUUGAGUCCAUCUUUUGUCUUCCCUGGGAUGUUAAGUAAUGUACCAAUGAUGCUUUCACAAAUAUUUUUCUCAAUGUGCAUUACAUCCAAAUUAUGACGAACAUGCAAAUAUCUCCAAUACUCAAGUUCAAAGAAUAUAGACUUUUUCUUCCAACAAUUGGUAUAAGUCACAUUGGAUUUUUCAUGUCUUCCCCUUUUUUUCCCCCAUGAAUUACAAAUGACAUUCAUUUUCAAUAGUAUUUCCUCUCCACUUAAUGGUUGUGGAGGUGAUCGAAACUCCUGCUCACCAUUGAAUGCCUUUCUAUGUUUUCUAAAAGGAUGAUUGCAUGGAAGAAAACGUCUGUGGCCUGUAAAUGAGUUCUUUCUCCCAUGCUUUAACCUAUGUGAAUAGGUUUCCGGUCCAUAUAUUGGACAAGCAAAAUAUCCUUUGACUAUGCAACCAGAUAAGUUUCCAUAUGCAGGAAAGUCAUUUAUUAUCCAUAAUAGAACAACCCUUAAUGUAAAGACCCCUCUUUGAUAUGCAUCAUAAGCUUCUACCCCUAUCUCCCACAAGGUUUUAAGGUCCUCAAUCAAUGGUGCUAAAUAGAUAUCUAUGUCAUUUCCAGGUUGUUGUGGACCCGAUAUUAACAAAGAUAACAUCAUAAAUUUUCUCUUCAUGUACAACCACGGUGGAAGGUUAUAAGUGAUCAUGACAACUAGCCAACAACUAUACCUGCUGCUCAAAGAACUAUGGGGAUUUAUGCCAUCUGCUGAAAUGACAAGUCUAAGGUUUCUAGGUUCUGCAGCAAAAUCAGGCCAUCUAUGGUCAAUUACCUUCCAUGACGGCGAGUCGGAUGGAUGACGCAUUUUUCCAUCAAAUUCUCCACCUUCUGCAUGCCAUAUGAGGUCUUUUGCAAUUUUUGAGGACCGAAACAUUCUUUUAAAUCGUGGGAUAGGUGGAAAAUACCACAUUACUUUAGCAGGAACUCCUUUACUCUUUUUGCUUCCUCUUCUAUUCACCUUCCACCUUGAAGCUCCACAUGUAGGACAUGAAGAUGCAUCUUUUAACUCAUUCCUAAAAAGUAUGCAAUCAUUGGGACAUGCAUGUAUUUUUUCAUAUUCCAUUUCCAAUGCAUUCAAUGUUUUUUUUGCUUCAUACAUAGACAAUGGCAACUCAUUGUUUACAGGCAACAUAUCACCAAGUAAGCUUAAUAGCUCGGAGAAGCUUUUAUCAGACCACCCAUAUCUUCUUUUCAGAUUGUAUAAUUUAACUAAAGUAGAUAAUUUGGUGAAGUUUUUGCAAUCGAGAUACAAAGGUUUUUCAGCAUCUUCAAGCAACCUUUCAAAUAAUUUUGGAUUAGCCUUACAAUCAUCUUAUGCAGCUUCAACCAUUUCUACUGUAUGAUCCACAUUACCAAUAUGAAUUCUAUCAAAACAUUCAACCCUUGUAGUUAGGGGUCCACUACUUAGAGCUGCCUCCCCAUGCCAAAACCAAGUAUGGUAACUUUGGUCAAUUCCAUAAAAGAAUAGGUGUUCUCUAAUCUUUUGAGGAGUAUUGAAGAUCAAAUUUCCACACUAUAGACAUGGGCAUUUGAUGGAGUUUUGAUUUGCAGAAUUUUGAACUGCAAAUGAAAUGAAAUUUUCAACCCCAUCCUCAUAGUCUUUUGAUCUUCUAUCUUUUGACAUCCAGGAACGAUUCAUUUGCCUAUAAUAGUUGAACACAAUUCCUAUAUAGCAAACAUAAGCAAACAAUGGAAAUGGAAAAGACUUAGAAAGUUACCUUUAGAAAACACUCAAAACUUUCAGUUUCUCAUUUGUGACAUCCAAAAUUUCUUUUAAACUUUCUAUGGACAAACAAUUAGGAUUCAAGUGCAAUAAAAAAUUUGAACCUCAUCCUUAAUAAAAAAAAUGAUUAACAAUAUGACAAUAGAACCUUUUGAUGCAUGUUUUUAUGCCUUUUAACAUGUCCAUCAUCCAAAAUCAGGUAGUUGUUCCUAUCCCAUGUAGGAAUACAUAAUCCCUAUGUGUUAAUUGCCAAUAUACUCAAUUUCAUUUUAAAGAAAUUUUGGCAGCAUUUCCCCAUAGUUCUCCAAGUACACAAAAUGAACAAGGUAUAAUAUGUGACCUUGUUCAAAUAUGCACCCAAAGAACAAGAGGAAAUACUACCAAAAUUUCUAAAAAGUGAAUUAAGCACAAGCAAUUAACUUCAUAGAUAUUAUGUUUUCCUACACUGUCCAAUCGGACAAUUCAAACAUCAUUGCAAAAAAAAUAUCUUUAUCACAUUCUAGACAAUUUAAAAGUUGUCAACUUGAAAGUGGCUUAGGUAAAACCUUUUUCACCUUUGACAACUUAAAUGUCUUUAGUAUGUAAUAAGAGAAACUUUUAUCUUACAAUGAUAGUUGAAUGGGAACUCUAAGGUUUCAUGCAUGCAUGUUUGAUUAAAAUUAAAACACAAUUACUUAUUGAAUAAUCUAAUAAUUAUAAAACACCUAAAGUUGUUCCAUAAUUAUUGCUAUAUUUCAUCAUUAAACAAGAUUAUUAUGAGAAAGCAUACGUAUGGCCCAUGAUUUGCGAAUCAAGUCACACCAGUCUAUGUCAUAGCCUUGGGUCAAAAUUUGGGCCUUGGUAUCAAACUAAGCUAGGGAAUAACUCGUACAAUUCAGGUACUCAAUAAGAUUUAAACAAAAUUUAAAAUAACGCUUCCAUUAUAUUCUUUUGACCACCCAAAGUAAAAAUGGUAUUAUGAUUAAAAUAUGUUGGUUUGUAUAAGGAAAAAUAGUGUACCUUCCUCACUCUGUCUUUGUCUCAAGUCUUGCAUCACACACCUCUCGUAGUCCAAUGUAGGUCACUGUCUCUUAAAAUAUGUAUAUGCAAAACAAAUAAUAAAUAAAGAUAUAAAAUAAAUCCAUUAGUAGAUAUUAACAAAUAAAUACAAAAUAAAUUAAAAUAAGAAAUAAACUAAGAAGAAAAAACAUAUAAGUAAGAAAAAAAAGAUUUUCACAUGUGCAACAAUGGUUAGAUAUUUUUAAAAAUUUAUAAAAUUAUUAAAAUCAAACUAUUUUAGUUAUUAUUUUUUUAAAAUGGUAAUUAAUACUCAUAUAAAAUAAAAUAUAUGCAUGAUGAGAAAGGUAAGAAGAUUAUUCCUUGUGCCCUUUUUCAUUUGAGAUUAUGACUUUUGGUGAUGACCUAAUGGUGGGUGAACCGUGAACCACACUAUCUGACCCGGGUCAAGUCCUUAGGGCAAGAAAGAUGACUGCAAGAUGGGUAGAACUUAAACGAAUGAGAUAGAAAAGUCUGGUCUAAAUUAAGGUGGCUUAACAAUCCGUAAUCAUCUUGGUUAGGUUGUAUCAUAUUGUGAAAGAGAAGUUACAGGCUAGGUCUUCAGCAUCCAGCAAUUCCACCCUUUGAUUUUUCCAACAUGUUGCACCAUCUAAUAAUAAUACCUAUGAUCCUAUACCUUAGUUUUGAUUCCUUAUGUAUACAAAGUAUAUAUGGUUACACUACAUUAAAGUUAUUUUUUUUCUCUAAAAAGUAAUUAGUGUAAAUUUUAAAAGUAGGCUAAUAUUCAUUUUUUUUUUCACUUCUUAUUUUUUGUUUUGAAAAUAGAAAAUAGUAACAACUCUUAUACAAAAUAUUUUACUAUUUUUUGUUUUUAAAAUAGAAAGUUAGAAAUUGCAUUUUAAAAGCAAUAUUCUAUUUCAAUCCACACAAAUGAUACAAGUUUUGAAAUAUUCCAUUACCAUAUUUUGAGUAAUAUUUUUAAAGGGUUAAUUUAAUUCAUUUCCCCUCAAGAUUUGACUAAAUAUAAUGGCACCCGAUAAUAUGAAAUUUGAAGAAGUCCAUAUACUCUUCAAGUCUAUAAUUAGAAGUUCCUAGUAAGUUGUCACCCAUACUAAUGAAAUUUCUUGAGUCAACAUUAAUCUCGAACCUUUUUGCUACCUUCAUUACCUAUUUUGCCCCUUUACCACCUACUUAGUCCUCUUUACUUUGACCAUGUGUGUUUCUCUUACUUGCCCCUCUACUUUUAUGAAAGAAGCAUAUAGAAGAAGCCCAUUCAAGUUUUUAAUUUUUCUUUGUUUGGAUCAUUCCUUGAAACCUUCUAAAAUUUCCCUUGUACUUAGCCUCAACAUUACAGGUCCAAUAAAACUCUUAUAAAUAAAAUUAAAAGUGUAAUAAAUAUUAUAAAAUUAUUUUAUUAAAAAAAUUAAUAUAUAUAUAUAUAUUGUAAUUAUUAAAUUAUAUAAAAUCUUAUUCAAUAAUAAUAUUGUGAUAUUUAAUUAUAAUAUGUUUAAUUUUAAAAUAUAUUUAAUAUUAAAAUUAUGAUAUAUUUAAUUAAUAUAUUAGUGAUAUUAAAAACUUUUUACAAUUUAAUUAAAUAAAAAAAUUAUUUACAUAUAAAAUAAUUAUAAUUAAUUUGUUGUUUAAAGGAUUAUUUUAAUAUUUUGUGUAUAUAAAAACUUUUAAUAUAUAUAUAUAUAUAUAUAUAUAUAUAUAUAUAUAUAUAUAUAUAUAAUCAUAAGGGUUUUGAUUUCAACAAGGUAUAUUUUAUUAAGUAAAGAAAGAAGGGCAGCUUCCUUGAACUUUCAAUCCCAACUUGCAGAUUUUACACCUUCGGCAUCACAGGUAUAUUGAGGAGGACAAGGAAAAGUGCCAUCAACGUAUCCUAAGAGGUCGUUGCUAAUUAAAACAGGGAGGAAUUUAUCUUUCCAGAGAAGAUAGUUGGUGGAAUCAAGUUUGAUUGGUAAUAUUCGGUGCAGCAAGUAGAGUGGAAGAAGGCAGUGAAUUCGAAAUAAAAACUGAUAAGAAUGUGACAAAGAAGAAGGAAGAACAAAAGGAUAUGAUGGUGUAGAAAAAUAAGAAGAAGAAAAGAAUAGGGUGAAGGAAUUUAUUUGAGGAGAAUAGGAGAUGACAAAGUUGAUACCUGAGUCAAGAAGGGAGGAAGAGCAGUGGUGGAGAUGACAGAUGGAGGUCCGGCAAGAGUGCUAGGAGGCAAGGACUUAAAAACCUGGGUCAACGACGAUGCCGCUAAGGACGAAACUUGGCUGGGAAUAUCAAUAUGUGCAGCAGACAACAGAAUAGAUGAUGUUUCAAUGGAUGAGGAAAUUUCAGCAGUGGAAGAUGGUGUCGCAGCCAUGGCAGAGGAGAUUAAGAGAGGAUGCAGCAGGAAAGAAAUUGCUAGAACAAUGACAGCGGCAGGUUUAGAAUCCUUUCAACACACCAAAUUUAGAGUCAGACUUGACAGCCUUUCAAAGACGCGGAGGCAUAGAAUAUUCUUGAUUAAAAUAUGUGAGAUCAUAAGCACCAAGGAAAUCAACGACCCCACCACAGCUAUUGCCACUCUCCGCCUCUUCUUCCACGACUGCAUGGUCGAAGGCUACGACACCUCAGUCCUCAUCUUCUCCAACUCCUUCAACACCGCCCAGCACGACGCCGACAUCAACCUCUCCCUCCCAGGCAAUACUGUAUCAAUACAUCCAGAUUGUACGAGUCUUGCCUCUCUAGUCAUCAGUCAUCAUUCAUGACUUUGUAGGAGGGAUGAGGUAGACCAAACAAAGCCUUCGGAUGGGCUCAAAUCUAGCCACAUCCAAGUUCCAAAUUCCUAUCCCCUAAAGUAAAAUUUAAAUUAUUAUUAUUAUUUACAUUCUGUAGAAGUUUCUUCUUUAAAUGAAUUUUAUUUUUGAGAAAACUUGCUAUGGAAAGUCUGCAUCUUGAUUUCAACCGAGACAAACCCAUAUCUUUUGGACCUGGUGCCUCUCCCAAUCCUUGACUGCCCAACAACUAAAAUUCAAACCCAAGCCCACCAAAGAAAAUUUUAAAACACGUCAUGCCUUUGCCAGUUGUUCCCCUCUCAAUACCAUUUAAAAAUCCCCCAUUCUGUAGCUUUCUCAACUGCUGCAGUCGAACCUGUCUUCUCCUUGGUGUACGAACACGACACGUCCAUACCUACAGGCGGUAGAGGCUACACCUCCUUUCCCACGCCCUUGUGCUGGUGCGUGAGCCACCCACCACAUUACCCUCAAGCUCCAUCCCGAUCACCAUGCUGGCUACUACAUCUCCAUGGCAUUACACUAGGCAAAAACAAGGCGACACUUCCCACCACAACUAAAAGGAGAAGCUGAAAUUAUACCUAUUACAACUUGCAGCGUACCAUACAACAACAAGAACAAAAAAUGCACUGUAUUUAUUUGGGAUACCAUUACCCUGAUUUUCUCCUCCCAAAAUAAUUUCCCCAUCUAUGAAACAAUAAUAUUAGAUUUUUGGAACAAUGAAAACCCUUCCAUUUGUCUUCAUUUGUACUAAUCUAUUCAAGUUUGAGGAAAACAACAUUACUUGAGAAAGAGAUUUACCUGUAACUAUGAUGCUCUGUAGUAGAUUUUGACAAUGGUAACCUCCCAUGCAUGGAAGUUAGACAUGGCCAUUCCAACGGAUUAGGGCAUUUUAGUGGUGGACUUAGUGAGAGCUAUAGGGUUUCGGGGUUUCUUCAGUUCUGAAAUUGUGGAGGGAAUGUCUGGCGGGUACUUGUAGAAAGGGAAAAACAUUUAAUUAAUAUAUAUAUAUAUAUACUAUUAUUUAAUGUCACCUAAUAUAAGUGCCAUGAAAUAUCACAACUAUGACACUGCUAUAAAGUGUCAUGGAAUAACCAGUUAUUCUUAUAAGUGCCACAACAAGCAAUGAUACUUUAAAUAAGCGCCAUGAAAUAAAAAAGCUAAUAUAAAAAAUGACCCUUUUGAAAAAACGCCAUUGUAUAUCCAAAUAUAAUGAUACUUUAUGAAAGCGCCAAUGAUUAAAGCGUCAUAAUUUUCUAUUUUUGUAGUAGUGGUUAGACAUUGGAAAAUAUUGUAUAUAUAAAUAUAUUAUUAUAAUAAUAAAAAUGAGAAGAAACAUGAGGAUUACUAUUUUAGUCUUAGGACUUUUGUGUGUAAUGAAGAUAGGAGGGUAAUGAGUUGGUUAUGCAUUGAAUUUGAAAAUUAAUAAAAAUAAUAAUAUUUAGUUUUAAGCUAACAAAGGAAAUAUUAGCAAUAAUAACAGUUUAGUGCAAUAAAUACAAAAACAAUAUAUUUUUGAGAAAUGUAGUUUAAAAAUAAUAACAAUAAAUUAAUGGAAUUUGGAGGAUAAAUUUUGGAAAGAACCCAAUUUUUAGAAGAAUUUAAAAAAUCACAUGUUAAAUUAUUAUUGAUUAAGAAGUUAAAAAUAAUAGGUGACAUAAUAUAGAAAAUUUCAAUCCCAUCCUACUUAUUUAAAAUAAUUAUCAUCCUCGUGCUAGUAAAAGAGAAAAGAAAAAUAGAGUGGGGUGGGUAUAUGAAUUUACCAUAUUAGUCUCACCUCACCCUGAUUAAAGUCUUCUUUUCUAAAUUAAAUUUUAAAAAAUUUAAUUAAAUAAAUGUAUUUUAUAAAUAAUUAAAAUAUUAUAAUUUUUAUAACUUAUUUUAUUGCAAAGUAAUUAUUUUUAUUAUUUUAUAUGUAUUAAAAAUGGGGAAAUAAAAAAUUUAAAUUAAAUUAUUUUUUGAAAUUCAUUUUAUAUAUAAUUAGGGUGAGAUGGGAUGAGACAAGGCAAAAUCUGAAACUAUCCUGCAUUUAAAAAAAAAAAAAGAAAAUCUCAAACUUGCCUCACGUUUAAAAAGAAAAAAAAUCUCAAACUUGCUCAUAACUUAUUUAUUUUAAUUCCAAACCAAUAAGGUGGGACGAGGGCCUGUAGCCAUAGAAGACUUGUAGGGAUUUUACCCGAAAAAUCUCACUCUAUUGUUAUCGUACUCCUAUCCAAGUUGAUAGUCAACUUGUAUACCUUGUUUUUUUUUUUUUUCAAUAUUCAAAUAAAUCACAAUUUAAUUUUAAUGGUCUUUAAACUAAAAGUUCAAUUAAAUGAAUUUUUUCGUGUCAUUAGCUUUCACAACCUCGUAAGUGCUAAUAAUAUUCAAUUUCAAAUAAUCAUCAAAGUCUAUACAACCAUUUCUAAAUCAAAUGUUCUCAUAGUUUAUUUUCAACCAAUCAAAGUAUAAUUAAAUUACAUAUAUCCAAAUUCCCCAAAUAAAUACACAUCUAAUUUCCCCGUUGCUUGGUAGGAGGCCUUACACCCAACAGGGUUAACAAGUAAUAAUCAAAGACUAAAAAUACAUGAAAUAUUGUAAAAUUAUAAAGUGACAUGAGAAGAAAACAAGAAAGAGAAAUCAGAAUGUAGGAAGAGAAUAGAAUUUCAUUAGAGGUAUUUCCCUUUUAUAGGGAGUCACAAAGAGAUAUACAUCAAUAUGGAUGAUCAUCCACAAGUUCCCAUAAUCCGAUAAAUUCUCAUAUUUUAUAACACUCCCCUUUGGAUGAUCAUAAGAAUAUGCCUCAUUAAAACCUUACUAGGAAAAACCCCAUGGGAAAAAACUUUAGUGAAGGAAAAAUAGUACACUAUUCUUUUGGAUUACUAUAACUACCUCGUUAAAAACCUUGCCAGUAAAACCCAUUGGGACAAAACCUGGAUGAAGGAAAAAAAAGUGCAGUAUAUCCAUAUUAUCAUUCUCCCCCUCAUGUAAACAUGAUUAUGAUUUCUUCAACAUUUCAAAUGGUAGAUCUCUCAAUCUUCAUAUUCCAAAGUCAUACCUUAACUUUUUCAAUGUGGUCAAAGGUAACACCUUUGUGAAUAGAUAUGUUAGAUUAUUUCAUGUAUUCAAAUAAAAUAAAUUUUCCUUCACUAAGGUUUUUUCCCAUGGAGUUUUUCUUAGUAAGGUUUUAAUGAAGUAUAUUUUUAAGAUCAUCUAAGGGGGAGUGUUAUAAAAUAUGAGAAUUUAUCAGAUUAUGGGAACUUGUGGAUGAUAAUUCAUAUUGAUGUACAUCUUUUUACGAAUCCCUAUAAAAGGGAGAUACCUCUAAUGAAAUUCUAUUCUCUUCCUACAUUCUGAUUUUUUUUUCUUAUUUUCUUCUCCUUUCACUUUAUAAUUUUAUAACAUGUUAUCAGCACGACUAGUCUCUACAAAAGAAAUAGAAAUAUUUUUCUCUAUUCAGAAAAAUAACAAGAUAUUCUUUAUUCUUUCUCACAAAAAGGUAUGUGAUAAACUUAUAUCAUGAUUUUCUAUUUUAUUACCUUUGAUCUCUAUUUUCAUUUAUUUUAUUUGAAUAUAUAAAUAUAUAUAAUCUCAAUAACCGGAAGUUAUGGGGUAAAUUCAUAACCAGAAGUUAUAAAAAUUAUGUGCAAUUCCUAUAACCAGAAGUUAUGAGGAAAAAUUAGAAAAUUACAUAUACAUAACCAGAAGUUAUGUAUAUGAUCUCUAAUUAUUUAUUUUUAAUUAUACGGUAUAACUGAAUGUUAUACCAAACAAUAUUAUAUAGCUAGAAGGUAUAAAAUAAAUAAAUAAAUAAAUGUUCAUAGCCUGAUUAUUUUGUCAGAAUAAGAAAAUAUUUAAAUUUGUACAUAACUUAGGCCAUGAUUAUUUUGUCAGAACAAGAAAAUAUUUAAAUUUGUACAUAACUUAGGUCAUGAACUGUUUUUUAUAUAAAUUUAUAUAUAUCUUCAGGCUAUGAACUAUUUAUUGUGUAGAUUUGUGCAUAACUUCGGGCUAUGAACUUUCAUUAUGUAGAUUUGUACAUAACUUCAAGCUAUGAACAUUUAUGUAUUUAUUUACUUUAUAGCUUCUGGCUAUAAUAUUGUUUGGUAUGACAUCCAGUUAUACCGUAUAAUUAAAAAUAAAUAAUUAGAGAUUAUAUACAUAACUUCUGAUCAUGUAUUUGUAAUUCUGUAAUUUUUCUUCAUAACUUCUGGUUAUAGGAAUUGCACAUAUUUUUCAUAACUUCUGGUUAUAAAUUUACCCCAUAAUUUAUAAUUUACCCCAUAACUUCUGGUUAUAGAGAUUAUACAUAUUUAUGUAUUCAAAUAAAAUAAAUGAAAAUAGAGAUCAAAAGGUAAUAAAAUAGAAAAUCAUGAUAUAAGUUUAUCACAUACCUUUUUGUGAGAAAGAAGAGAGAAGAUCUUUCUAUUUUUUUGAAUAGAGAAAAAUCUUUCUAUUUCUUUUGUAGAGACUAGUUGUGUUGAUAACGUGUUGUAAACUUAUAAAGUGAAAGGAGAAGAAAAUAAGAAAGAGAAAUCAAAAUGUAGGAAGAGAAUAAAAUUUCAUUAGAGGUAUAGGGAGUCACAAAGAGAUAUACAUUGAUCAUUCACAAGUUUCCAUAAUCCGAUAAAUUCUCAUAUUUUAUAACAUGAAAAUAUUAAUAAGAUAUUUUAUUUUAUCCCGAAUAUGUAUAUAUAUAUAUAUAUAUAUCUUGGUAAUUAAUAAAAAAAUACAAAUGGACGUGAAUACACCCAAUCAUACGAUUCACUAUUCUUCUUGGGGUUUCACCUAAUGAUAUGUGUAUGUAAUCAAGUAUACUCUCCAUUUAGAUUUUUCUCGGGUCUAUUGUUAUGUCUUUUAUACUUGUGAUCACGCUCUUUUCUUAAUUUAUCCUCUUAUGUGACAUUUCUUUUUUGUCUCUCAUUUUUUUUUUUCCAUUUUACACCACCUUUCCUCAUUAUAUAUAUAUAUUCACACAAUUAUGAUGCAAAUAUAAUAUAUAAUAUGAAACUAUUAUUUUUAGAACAUAUUUUUAUCUUUUAAAUUGACUCCAAAAUUUAAAAAUUCAAUACACAUUUUUUUUUUAAUUCUCAUGAAUUAAUGAUCAUUUCAUUUUCCUCUAGCACUAUUUUAUCAACAUCAAUAAAAAUAUAAUUUAAAUAACACUCAUAUACCAAAUCACCCGUGGAUAUUACAAGUAUUAACAUAUUUAUUUCAUGGCAUAAUAUUUAUAACUUUUUUCUUAAAAAUAUAUUAAAUAAAUUUUUUUGGGAUACAUCGCCCUACCAAAAACUGCGAACCUAAUCGUUAUUUUUGAAAUUGAGCUUUGUAGCCAUAUUCCCCAAAUAAAAGGUGGUUUGUUUCAACGAAUUUCUGUUUUUAUUUUCAAAGAAAACAAAAGGUAGGUUUUAAAUAUGUUUAGACAAUGUUUUACCGGUUUUUGUUUUCUAGAAAUCUAAAUUCAGAAAAUGGAAAAAAAAAAAAUGAAAACAUCAAUUUGUUAUUUUCAAAAUUUUAUUAAGAAAGGUGAAAACAAUUUUAAAAAAUAUUCAAAACAAAGAAAAUAAAAAUAAAAAAGACCUUAUGGGAUUGAUCAUAAUAUAAAAAAAUAAAUACAAAUAUUGUAUAUAUAAAAAAUAUUAAUAUAAAUAAAACAUGAAAUAAUAAGUAAUGUAUAAAUAUUUGGUUUAUUUUUUGGAUUAGAGAUUAUUUAUAAGUUGAUAUAUUUUUUGAAUAUAAACUAAUUCAUUUUAAUUGAUUAGUCAGAAGAUUAUUAGAAUAUUUUAUUACAUUAUUUUAAAACAAAAAUAAUAUAGUAAAGAAAAUAAAAAAGAAUAAUGAACAAAUACAAGGAAAGCGUGACUUUAUAGUAUAUAUGUUAUAACACAUAACAUAAAAAAUAAUCAUAAUUAUAUAAAAUUUUAAUUAUAUUUAAUUUCACAAUUUUUAAUAAAAACUUAAAAUCAAAAUUUUUUUUUGCAAAUUUUAUUUUUUAAAAGCAGAUUUCAUUUUUCUUAAACAAAAUGUAUUUUUUAAGAAAAUAAAAAAUAGAAAGUGAAAAUUGUUUUGAAAAAAUAAAAAUUAGAAAAGCGUUUUUCAAAUUAAAUACAAUCAAUUAAUUUCUUUUCUUUUCUUUUUUGUGAAUGUAGAUACAUUAUUGAGUCAUUAAAUCUUGUGUUAAAGUGUAGUUUUUUUUUUUCAUUUAUUUUAUUUUCUUGUUUAUUAUUGACUUGCUUCCGGAUAACAUCGAGAGUUGCAAAUACAUCUUAUGAUUGAGUACAAAUAUUAGGUCUUGUCAUUUUCUCAAGUAGGAAAAGAUACGGGUGUUUCGAUGAAUUGAAUUAAUAGUGUUAGGACAUUUGCUUUGUUUUUUUGGUUGAUAAUUUUGUUUCUUUUCAUUAUGAUAUAUGAUUUUUUUAAAUAGUGACAUUUGUAGAUGAUGACUUACUCUUUACUGAAGAUUUGAGACUGUCGUUUAAUUAAUCGGAUGGUUAUAUGUAAAUUUGAAAAGAUUUAAGUAAAGACAAUUUUUUUAUAAGUUAGAGUUAGAUGGAAAGUUUUAAAAUUAAGUUAAAAUAUUUUAAUUAAUUUUUAAAAAGUUGAGAUUUUAAUUUUUUUUAAAAAUCGGAUGUUAUCAUUAGGAAAAUGUCAUAACUUAUCCUACCAUUUUUGAAAGCUUUAAAAGGUUUUUUUUUUAUAAAUAAUUAUGGCUUGUUGAAGGGACCUACAUCAUCUCAGAGAUUGAGAUGAAUUCAGUAGAGUACUCGAGGUAUUGUGUCCCGAGGAUGUAGGUGGAAAGUAAGUGCAAGGUAAAACCAAUUUUUAUUUUUAUUUUUUUUUGUUAAAAACUCUUAAGACGAUGAUGAUGUUAUACAUAUGCAUAUUCAAUAGAUUCUGCAUCAUGAGCUCAAGCUGCUAGAUGCUAUGAAUAGGUCAGGACUGUGGAUGACAUGUGUUUGACACGUGGAAAUGAAGAGUGAGGAUGAGCAUCCAAUUAUUUUUAUCUUUAAUUCCCAUGUUUGAAUAAUUUAAAUUAUGAUGGGAAUGAAUCAAAAAGUGAUUCAAAUGGAAAUAAAAUCUUACUUAUAAGUAGGAUUUCAAUUCUCUCCAACUAGAGGUAUUUUGAUUUCUUAAUGUAAGUUAUUUUUAAAAAUACUUUUUAAAAAUUUAAAAACUAAACAUUUAAUUUUUUUGAAUAUGUUGUUUUUGAAAAGAAAUUUUUAGUUUUAUUUUGUAAAAAAAAAUAUUUUAAAUUAAGAUAAUAUAAUGUAAACUAAAUUUAAUUCAUGUCUUAUUAAAAAAUAAAAAUAAAAAUAAAUUAAAAAAUAAAUAGUUUUUAAUAAAUAUGAAUAUUAAUAAAAUAAUAAAAUCAGAAAUGGUAUAUAUUUUUUAUAAAUAUUAUAAAUAUAUAGAUAUUAACAUUAAUUGAUUUAUUUUGUUAAAAAUAAAGAAUAGUUAUUCNCNAAUUAAUAAUUUCUAAUACUAUCUAUUUUAAAUUAAUAUAAAAAAAUAAAAUUUAAUUUUUUAAGGUAUAAAUGAGCCAAAUUUUUUAUUAUAUGCAUAUAUUUAUAACCCAAUUGUGAAGAUGACAUUCUAAAUUAUUUUAUUUAUCUAUAAUUAAUUAAUCAAUUUUUUAAAAUUCAAAUUAUUCUUAAAAUUACAAGAUUUAUUAAAGAAUUUAUAGUAUUAAUUAUGUCUAUUAUUUUUAUAGUCAUUAUAUAUAUAUUUUUGAGUUUUAAAUAAUUUUUGAAAUUAUAAAACUUAUUAAUAAAUUCAAUACAAAUUCGAUUUGAAAUUCAUAUUUUCUACUAAAAAAAUCGAAAGAAUAAUUCUCUAUUUUAUUUUAUUUUUAAAAAUUGUUUUUAAAAAAUAACAAUCAAAUAGUGAUAUAAAUUUUUUAAAAACAAUUUUUUUUUUUAAAUCAUGCACCCAAAUAAGUUUUUAUUAUUUAGAAAAAAAAAACAAAUUCCUAAGGAUUUUUUCAAAUGAAAAUAAAAAAUUACUUCAAACAACGUAGAAUGUGAGAUUUUUUUUAUAAAUAAAAAUAAAAAUAAAGAAUUAUUUUAAAUCAGAUAUACAAAUAUUAUUAAUAAUUCUUUUUUUUUUUUUCAUUUUCAUUCCUAUUUUUAUUUAACAUUGAAAUAUAAUCAAAUUAUCAUUCCAAUCUUAUAUUCUUAUAUGCAUGCAAACAUAAAAAUUAAAAUUACCAAAUUCAUUCCUAUCAAUAGGGAAUAGUAGUAAAACAAAAUAUUCAUUUCCAUUCCCAUUCUUCGUUAUGCGUACCAAACAUGUCCUUAUCUUACAUAGAAUCUGGCCAACAUUAUAGGGCAUGUGGGGAUCGGGCAGAUGUUAAUUUGUUGGCCUGAAAUUGGAAAUCAUCAUCUUUAUGUCACUAAGAAGUAACUUAAUGAACCUAGCUCAAAUCCAUGCUAUGUUCAGUACAAGACAGUGAUGGUGCUAAAGACGAUAACCUAAUACGUGGGUCCCUUUUGCCUAUCAGGAAAAACAUAACACAUGCGUGCUUCCUGCGACUUCUUUCAUGAAAACUUUUCAGUCUAUUAUCCUUCGCAGUGCCAUUGAGAAACAAGUAUCUCCACAAAUUGGUUCCUCUGAUUUAAUUUGUCCAUUACAGAUAAUGGCUGUUCAAGUUAGCCUAUUUGCCACGUCCCUGGGAUUUCUGUCUUAAUCAUAUAAGACAAUAUAUUGAAUGGGAAAGCGAAGCUACGUGAACUUCCCAACUACGUAUGCAGCCUCUUGCACUCACACUCACUCACACGAAAGUCUAUAAAUACCGAGUUCGUAUUGCCCUUGCAAUCCAUCCAGCAGAGAAACAUCUUUGAGAGUUUCCUUUAUCAGUAGAGUCUUUCACCUCCUUUGCUUUUGUGUAGGAAAGAUGGCUUACUCCAGGACUUUCCUUCUCCUUGGCCUUCUCUUUGCUGUUGUUCUCAUCCUGUCCUCUGAGGUUUCAGGUCGGGAGCUAGCUGAAACAGCCGAAACUCGUAAGUUAAAUUUCUUUCAACUACUUUUUCAGUAGAAAUAAUGGCAAGUUAUAUUAUAUGUUCAUAUACAUAGGGAUAAUUUUGUUUUCUUAAAUUAUGGCAGAAGUGAUCAGCGUGGAAGAUGAGAAGCACGAUGGGUAUGGACACGGACACGGGCACGGCCACGGCCACGGAAAAGGACAUGGGCAUGGGAAACCUGGUCAUGGUGGCGCCGGUGAGGAUGUGGAAGACGAGACUGAGGGGGCUCAGAAUUAGAGUAAUCAAUCCUUAAUUAUGUGGGCCACGCAUGAUUAGGGUGGGUUUUAUGUAAGAUUAUGAAAGCGUAUAUGUCAAUAAGGCAUGUGGGCUAAGGGGUACUCCCUUAGACCAGCAUUGCUGCAGUUGUUAAAUAUGUAGGUCGGGACUUGUAUCUUUUAUUUCUCUAUGUUUUUUAUGUGCUAAAUAAAGUAUGAUGAAUGUUGUCUGGGGGUCCUACCCUUUUUACGUUGCAUUAUUUACUUGGAAUUGCCCGGAAUUUGGAUUUGAAAGGGAUUUUUUUUUUUUUUUUUUACUAUGGUAGCAUGCCCUUCAAUUCUCAUCGAUGGCUUUUACAUUUGCACCAAUAUAAUAUUAGUAAUUUCAACUUUGAACAUCAGUACUGUUUAUUUAUUUCAUUUUUUAAGGAUUUUUUUUAUUUUUUUAUUUAAUUUAAAUCUCCUUGAUUCCACUCCAAUAAAUGGUGCAACUUCAUGACCAAUAUGAACCCACCCCUUUUCACCCUGUUCUUCCAAAUAUAAUGCUUGAAAGUGAGUACUCCCAUGGAAUAAAUUGGUUUCCAAAAUCUCCAUUUAUUGAAAAAAACCACACACCCGAAUUUUCAUUUGGAAACUACCUCUCUCAUGCACCUUUGAAUUCAAUAAUCUUCUAACGUACUUUAAAAUAAAUAUAGCUACUAUCAAUAUUUUUAAAAUCAGAUCCAUCAUUGAAUUGAAAAAGUUAUCGAUCCAUGAUUCACUAAUCGAAUCGAUGGUUGAACCGUAGUCAAACCAAUGAUGUUAUAAAUAUAUAAUUUAUAUUUAUAUAUAAUUAAAAAUAAUUAUAAAAAAUAAACAAAUGUAUAUAAUUAAAAAAUUUAACAAUAUUUUAUUUUUUAUAUGAAUUAAACUAAAAAAAUUCUAUACUUGCAUAUGUAAUAUUAAUAGAUUAAAUCAUGAUAUAUAUGCUAAUAUUUCUAAAUUUACUAUUAUAUGUAUGUAGUAUUUAUGAUUUAAUAUUAAGAAGAUAUAUAUAUCCUAAGAUGAAAUCAAAUUUUAUAUGUCAUUUUAUCAUUUAAAAAUUAUUAAGCUUAUUUUACUAUAUGAAUAUUUUUAUUUAUUUCAAAAUUUUAUUUAUUUAUUAAAAAAAUAAUAUGCAAAUAUAUUUAACAACUGACUUGGGUUAAAAACACAAUUAGGUAAGUGGUCGCUGGUUUCAUUUUAUAUGCCCAGCUCGAAUUUUAAGUGGCUGACGUAGGAGUCUUGGGAAUGAAACAGAGCUGCAAAAUGAUGAAGGUGGGUUGCAUGGACCCAAAUCUUGAGAUAAAGUUGGAAAAAUGAUGGGUUUAUAGAAAAGGAAAAGAUCGUUCAGUUCUCAAAAACCGGUCGGUCCACUGGUUUGGAUGGUGCAUCUGUCGGUUCAUGUGAUUUGAUCCCGAUCCAAUGCUUCUAACGGUUUAACCGUUUAAUCAGAUUGGAACCAUGAUUGAUCGACGAUCUAAUUGGUUAAAUCGACGGACACAAUCUGAUUUUCAAAACCAUGGUUAUUACGAUAAAAACAUAAACAUUCCUCGUUUUAUUGUAAUAUUUGUUAGUAGAUUAAGGUAUUUAAAUUAAGUUGAUAAUUUUGUUUCCUAAUCUUGAUUUAGAAUUCUAUGUAUUUUUUAUUUUUUAUUUUUAUGAUUUACACUUCUAUUAAGUAAGGUUAUAAGAUUCAGGAAUAAAAUCAAUUUCGAAAGAAUUUCAAAUGGAAAGUCUUUUUAAACUUAAAAUAUGAUAUCUUUUUAAAUAUUUCUAAAAUUUAAAUAUUAAUUGUAUUCUUUUUAGUAAAAUAUGAUUUCUAAAUCGAUUAAAAGUUUACUAGAAUAUAUAUAUAUAUAUAUGCCUACUAGAAGAGUUCUCUUCCAAGAAUUCAUGUACCUAAAUUUUAUCUUAAAUUUUAAGACUGUUUGUCUUUUUCUUGAGUUGGAAGACUUUGAAUACAUUUGACAAUAAUUUUUAAAAGUAUUUAUAGUGUUUCUAAUAUUUGAAAAAUAAAAAUUUUAAAGACCAAAAACACUUUUCCAAAUUAUUGCAAAAUGCAUUCUUUGUGGCACUCUCAAUUGAGGAUGUUCUUUUUUGGAUCGACUUGUUGACGUGAGGACUGAGGAGGGACGUAUACAUGCACUGUAUAAGACAUGGUUGGCUAAUUCCAAUUUCCAACUACGUUAUUAAAGUGAGUGAUUUUGGAACCUUAAAAUGAUACGACAGACAUAGUAUAGCAUUUUUUGUUAGAAGGAUCGAAAUCCAUACAUUCUAUGACUUGUGAAAUAUGUUGGAGAGGGCUACCUAUUAAUAUUACUGCUAAUAUAUAGUGUAUAUAUGGUCCCCACCAGUACUUCAAUUCUCUGAAAAAAUGAAAUCUAGCAAAACCACGUGAGGAAAAGCUUUCUCACUGUAGAACUUAUCCAAACUUUUUCUUUGUUGCUAUAUUUGGUUUUUAUCCUCCAUCAACAAGUUAUUAGCAAUCAACCAUUGGCUAAGUGGGAAAUUUACUAGGUUAAAAAAUCACUGCUACAAAAAAUACAUUCAAUGACGGUCAUUUCCUUGGCGCUGGUAAGAAACGUCAAGUUACGGGGAUUUUUGAUAAUUUAAAAUUAAUUUUUUAAAAUACAGUAUAAUAAAAACUAUUUUCAAAUCUAUGAUACUUUUUUGUCACUUUUAAAAGUGUAUUUUAAAAAGACACUUUACAUCAUUUUUAUAUAAAUGAUAUACGUUUAAAACAAUUGAAUUUACAUUGAAGGUGUCUCUGGAAGAGACAAGAGACACCUUCCAUAAUUUUUAUAUCAAUAACACAUGUUAAAAAUUUUGAAUUUACAUUAAAAGUGUCUCUUCAAGAGACACCUUUUAUAAUUUUACAAAAUCAAAUUUAUAUUAAAAGUGUCUUUUAAAUAGAUAUUUUCACAGUUUUCAUAUCAGUUGCAUAAUAAAAAAUUGAAUUUAUACUAAAAAUGUAUUCUUAAGAUAUAAUUUUUUACAAUUUUACAAAAUUAAAUUUAUAUUAAAAGUGUAUCUUGAAUAGACACCUUCAAUAAUUCUUGCAUCAGUCAUCUAUUGANNNNNNNNNNNNNNNNNNNNNNNNNNNNNNNNNNNNNNNNNNNNNNNNNNNNNNNNNNNNNNNNNNNNNNNNNNNNNNNNNNNNNNNNNNUUGCAUCAGUCAUCUAUUGAAAUAAUGAAUUUAUACUAAAAGUGCAUUUUAAAAAACACAUUCCAUAAUUUCAUAAAAUUAAAUUUAUAUUGAAAGAUUAUUCGUUCAAGAGACACUUUUAGUAUAAAUUUAAUUUUUUUGAUAGGUGAUUAAUAUAAAAAUUGUGGAAAUUAUUUCUUCAAAAGACACAUUUAGUAUAAAUUUAAUUUUGUGGAAUUGAAUAGAUUCCUUCAAUGUAAAUUCAAUUUUUUUCACUGUGUAACUGAUAUGAAAAUUAUCAAAGAUGUCUCUUCUAGAGACACCUUUAGUAUUAAUUUGAUUUUAUGGUAUUGUGGAAAUGAUAUUUCUUUAAUAUAAAUUCAAUUUUUUUUAACGUGUAUGACUAAUAAAAAAAUUAUGAAAAAAUAUCUUUUGAAGAAACACCUUUAACAUAUAUUUAAUUUUAUGGAAUUAUAAAGUAUGUCUCUUCAAGAGACACCUUUAGUGUAAUUCAUUUUUUUUGGGGAGAAUUAUGUUUUGGGGGUAGAUGGGCUCUCAAAUUAACAAAAGGUCCAUAUAACUCUUCAAAUUGAGCCCAAGACCCAAUGAAAGUAUGGAAAUUGAGUUGAAGGAUAUCAUUCUUCAGUAUUUACAAAAAUACCCUUUGUUGAUUUUGAAAAAAAAAUUAAUAUUUUUGAAAAAUACUUUUAUUUAAUUUAAUAUUUUUUAUUUUAUUUAAUAUUUAAAAAAAUACUUUUAUGUAAUUUAAUAUUUUUAAAAUACUUUUAUUUAAUUUAAUAAUUUUAAAAAAUAAAUUUAUUUAAUUUAAUAUUUUAAAAAAAUAUUUUAAAAAAAAUAUUUUAAAAAAAAUAUUUAAUUUAAUAUUUUUUUAAAUACUUUAAUUUAAUUUAAUAUUUUUGAAAAAAAAUUUAUUUAAUUUAAUAUUUUUAAAAACUACUUUUAUUUAAUUUAGUAUUUUUGAAAAAAAAAAUUAUUUAACUUAAUUUUAUAAAAUAUUUUAUAUGUGUUUUUAAAGGGUAUAUUUGUCCGUUACUAUUUCAUAUCCUUCAACUCAAUUUGAAGAGUUACAUGGACCCUUUAUUAAUUUGGGGCCCAUCUACCCCCAAAAGAUAAUUCUCCCUUUUUUUUUUUUUUAACAUUUAUGGUUGAUAUGAAAAAUAUAUAAGGUAUUUCUUUAAGAAACACAUUUCAAAGUGGGAAAAAAAUGCCGUAGAUUUGAAAUUAUUUUUCAAACUACCAUAGUUUAAGAAUUAUUUUUUAAAGUACCGUUUUUUAAGAAUUAUUUUUUAAAAUAGCUGUAUAAGUUAAAAAAAGCCCCAAGUUACUGCAGGAAACACAUUGAGGAGUCAUGGAUGGUGGAAGUAUAGCUUUGCUGCUCCUGGACUUUCUGGACAGUCCCUUUGGACUCACAAAAGAGUCUUCAGUCACUAAAGAGGACAGAAAAUUCAUAUUGUUCGAUUUGUGUCAAAAUCCACUCGUAGAAAGUGGUUGUUGCAUCGUUUUGGAUCGCCAUAUAGAUGGUUUUGAUUCUUGUCUAAUUUUCUAUGAUAGUAAUUUUUCUUAAGUUUUCUUAGUCUCAAAAAGUGUUUAUUUUAUUUUAUUUUUUUACAAAUUAUAAAUAAAGUUUGAAUGCCUUUGGAUGGUUUAUUUCUCAAUUUUUAUGCCAAAUUUUUUGGUACAUUUCUUAGGCAAUAUCAUAUGUUUAUAUAUCAUUAAUUUGUUCUCUUAAACAAAAUUUGUUGUCAUAAAUAGGAAGAUUACGAAUGUUUAUGUAAUUGCAUGUUAAUAUUAGAAGUUAUUAAUAUAUUUAGUUACUAUAUUAUAAUUAUAUAUUUAUUAUUUAAUUAUUAUACUACAAUUAUUUUCUUUCUUUUUAGAAAUAAUGAUAAAUUAGUCUUUAUUUUCUUUUAUUAGACUUAUUUAAAUUGUAAUUGUCUUAUAUUUAUUUUAAAGAGAAUUGAUAAUAAGAAAUACCAAAUUUUCUUUUCUUUUCUCUUUGAAUCUUUUUUAGAUUUUAACAUGGUAUUAAAGCCUAGUUUGACAGGAGGCCAUGAGUUCGAGCCACCUCUUCACAUCUUUAAUGAGACUUUUGAUUUGUAAUUUCAUGAAAAAGAGUUUAAUAUCAUACGUUGUUUUCGUAUCUGUUUGAUCGUGAGAUAUAAUAAUGGGUGUUUACAUAAUUCUUUUCGUGUUUGAUCCUAAUAUUUGAUUUUGUAUUCAUUUGUUCGAUAUAAUCCAAAUUCUAUUUGUUGGAUAUGAAUCCAAAAUUCUGUCUAUCUUUCUUUUUUCUAUGUUGUUGAAUAUGAAUUCAAAUUAUAUUUGUUUCUAUUUGUUAUAUAUGAAUUCAAAUUCUCUUUGGCUUUGUCUUUUGGAAAUGAAUCCAAAAUUUGUUAAUCUUUUUUUCUUUUAUUUCUCAUUUUUCUAUGGUUUUAUGUCUUCUUCUAUCUCUAUUUAUUGAUUUCUCAUUCCUUGAUAAGUUUUAUGUUGACUUCUAUUUUUCUUUCUUUGAUGGUUUAGUUUUGUGUCUUUUUUUUUUUCUUCCUUUUUUUUCCAUUAUAGUUUUAGUUUUGUCUUAUUGUACUUUUUCUUUGAACAUAUGCUUUUUCUAUUCCUAUCGAGUCUCAUGGUGUCUUUGUGUUUGAGCUUGUUCACAUUGGUCUUUUUUUGUGAAUGAUACAAAUAAUAUCCAUGCAAAUAUUGAUAUUUGACACUUCAAUUAAACGGUGCAAAGCUCGAUUGUUUGCUAAGAGAUUUUUUCAAUAGUAUGAUUGUAAAGUUGUUUACCAAGUCAUACUUAUUUUCACAUUUUUUUAUUUUCGAUUAAAAACUUUCAAUACUUUUCGUAGUUGCAUUUUGAGCUUGUGAGGCGUGUUAGACGUUAUUAAUUAAUAUAUUUAGUUACUAUUUAUAAUUAUAUAUUUAGUUACUAUAUUUAUUUAUUUAGUUAUUAUAUUAAAAUUAUUAUUAUUUUUUAAAAUAAGAGUAAAUUAGUCUUUAUUUUAUUUUAUUAGACCUAUUUAAAUUGUAAUAAUGUUAUAUCUAUUUUAAAGGGAAUUCAUAAUAAAAAAAUCUUAAAUUUUCUUUCAUUUCUCUUUUUUUUUUUUUCUUUUUUAAUAUUUUUUGAAUUUCAACAUGUAAAAGUCUUAAGCAAGCCAAGUUGUUCAAAUUGUAAUUAUCUUUAUUUCUUUGAUCAAUCACAUUCCUAAUAUCUAUAAAGACCAUGAAAUUAUUAUUUGAUGAGAUGGUUAGAGUGAUGAGAGAAAGUGAUCGGUUGUCAUAAAUUCAUGUGGUCUUAUCAACCCUACAGGAGACUAAUGUUGGUUAAUCAUUUUCAUUUGUCGUCUACGAUGAGUCUUUAAAUUCAAAUUCAUCUAUUAAUGUUGACAACUUCAUCACAUCCACCCACUCAUUACUUUGCAUAAUCCCAUCUCUCCUUUCGUUAUUUCAAAUAUUGCGUAGCACACUUUCUAUAUUUUUUUUUAAUAUAAUUUUUUAGAGUCUUUUAAUAAAUCUUUUCGUUUCUUUCAUAAUGCCUCAAUUUUUUUCAAAUCAAUUUCUUUGUUGUAGUCUUUAUUCAAUAGAUUCCAUAAAUUUUGAGAGUUGCCCUUGAAUUGAGUUAUUAUUUAUUGUUAUGAUUUUACUACAAAAUUUACAAUUUCUUAAUAUUUUGCACAUUUUUCUUGUGUCAUAACUUUGAUAUUCCGACCCUUAAUAGAAAUUUCUAAUCGUGACACCAUAUGUUGAGACGUACACAGUUGUGAUAAUAAUUUUUACUCAAAAAAUAUUUUAUUUUAUUGAACUUAUUAACCAAUCUAUAUUUAUAAUAAAUUAAUCAUAUUUAUGUUAUAAGUCUAAUUCAUAAUUAAAAUAAGACUUAUAAAUAACAUUAAAAAAAUUAAAUAAAUAAUAAACUUGAAAUUUUCCAAAUUCCUAAAAUUCUUUUGAUUUUACUUCAGGUGGAAUUAAUAUUUUCAAUAUGUUAAACUUAUUAAAAAAAUUCUAAAAUUAAAGUUAUAGUUAAGGAGGGUUUAAGCCUUGUUUGGGAUGACAUUUAGCUAUUGCUAAACUAAUUAAUAUUGUAUUAUUUUUAUGUUUAAAAAAAUAGUUAAAUAAAAAUUAGUUAAGAGUUUUAUCCAAGUUAGGUCAGUCCUUUAAAUGCUGGCUUUAGCUUUUGAAAAGCUCUCCCAAAUAGGACUUAAUAAUAAGUGUCAUUUUGGCAGGUUGCAUGUUGAGUGGUAUGAAGCCGCAAAGUAGGAAGAUGAUGGCGUUCACAUUUGAAUCAUAAGAGUAAAGAACAGAGAAUAAGUAGGUAAAUUAAUUAUAUUGUUCAUUUGAUCUUUUUAUUUAUUUAUUUAUUUUUAUAGAUAUAGAGUUAUGACAAAAAAGGACAAAAAAAAAGUGAUUUAAAUGAUACAUACUUAAUUAUAGGUAAUUUAUCUAUUGUUGGACCUUUAACCUAUGUUUGAUUCUCAAAAAAUUUGAGAGAAAAUGUAUGUAUAUGAAAGAAAAUAGAGAAGAAAAAUAGUAAAAAAAAAAUGAAGGAAAAUAAAAUAUAGAUUUAAAGUUAAUAAAUUAAUUUUAUUUACUACUUUAAAUUUAUUUAACUUAGUUUAACUCCUCAUUUAAAAGAUUAAAUAAUUUGAAAAUAUUUAAGUUUUUAGCUUAUUUUAAUUAUAUUUUAUUUUCUUUUAUGUUUUUUUAUAGUACAAUCAAAUAUAAGAAAAUAAUUUUUCUUAUUAUUUUUUUUUUCUUAGUAUUUUUUAGGAAUCAAAUAUAAACCUUAAGGAAUAAAGGGUACUUGGUGUAACCUUAAAAAUUUUAGUACUAAUAAUUCUAAAAAAACUUUUGGAUAACCAAAUAAUCUUUCAUGGAGUUCCAAACCUCGGGUUACAACAAUCAAUAUUGAAUAAAUUUGUAGUAACAUCAAAAGAAGUUAAUAAGAAAUUAACAUUAAUGUUUAAUUUUGAUAAUACCAAGAAAAUAAAAAUAAUAAAUGAGAAAGUAAUUAUAUGGUUUGAUAAUGUGUCGAUAUUAUGGUAGAGAGGAAAUCAAUUCAUUAUAUUUAAAGAAGUAAUUACAUUAUUAAAACUCUCAAAUCUACGUGAAUAAAUCUAUUUUUAUAACAAAAUCUCAUAUAUUUCUUAAAAUUAUGCAUAUGCAUGUUGCUCGUGGAGGAAUCUAUCCAAAUAAAUUAAGGUUGGUGGAUACAAGACAAAUAUAAGUGACGUAAGACGGGACGUAAUCAAUCAUCCAAGUGAAACCACGUGUGUGAACUGUGAAGCACAAGAUUAUGGGUUACUCACCCCUUCAACUUCAUGUGGAGAAGAAUUAAUUUUGAAUUUUAUGCUCCAGCCCAUGGCCUGAAACCUAUUGGUCUCACUGUCAAUGCUGUCCUUUUUCGAAUUUGAUGACGCGAGGAGGGACGUAUGCGAUGUACGGGACAUGGUUAUAUUAUUAUACCUUAAUUAUGUUCAUUUGUACAUUUACAUAUACAAACUUUUUCUUUUUUCUUUUCUUCUCUUAAUUAUUUAUUUAUUUUUUAGUUUUUAUCUUUUACCUUUUUUCAGUUUUUUAUUUUUUUAUUUUUUUUAUACAAUUAGUAUACCCUACAGACUUCCAAAUCAAGAAAUUAAAAUUAAUUUUGAGAAUUAUUUUCAUGAAUAAAAUCAUAUUUAGAAACUUAAAUAUAACACUAUAUACUUAUUAUAUAUAAUACGAAGAUUCUCAACAUAAUCCUUGUAUUUUGAAUUAUUAAUUAAAACACUUUAUCAUAAAACACCUUAAUUUUACUGUAAAAAUAAUUAAUUUUUAGAGCAAAUUUAUAAAAAAAGAAAAAAGCUAGACAUGUUCUUAAAUUUUUAAGGAUAACUAAAGGCUGACCAAAUCCGGCAAAAGCACGUGAGAAAAAGCUUUCACAAGCAAAAUCAAUCUAAGGCGUUACCUUUAUUGCUAUUUUUCCUUUUUAUCCCAAUGUAGGCAGUGAAGUAGAAUUUUUCUGACUCUGGAUUCUUUGGGCAGUCCCAAGAUUUGGACUCAAAAGAGUCUUGGGUCAUGGGGAGAGGAGCCGAGCCUAAGGAUUCAUGUCAAGUUAAAUUAUUUGCAAAGCAGAAAGGUUAGACAUUGGAAGCAAAAGGGCGGUGAGCACAGCUAGAAAAAGUGCUUUAUCGACACAUGCUUUUGUUAAAGAGCAAUAUCAUAUCUUUCCACGAGUUUAGACACUUUCCUUCUCUUAAAUCAUAAUAUGUGGAUAUCACAAAUAUUACUUUACGUGUCACUGACUCAACCCCAGAAGUAUCCACCAAAGAUCUCUUUUUUAAUCAUAAGGCUUAAUUAAUAAUUUAGUAAAUUUAAUAAUCAUUUUUUUACAGAUAAUUCUUCAUGGGAAACUCAUGAAAUGACAUGUGAACUGUUUUGUGAAUUGGGUAUAGAUUGAUUAUCUAUAAUUAUAACCGAGGAAGCAUGGAAACCCAGAUUCAAACCGACAUGCCACGUCCCUCCAACUUCUUUAAUGGUACGUGUGGUCACUUUAUAUUGACUCUCAAGCACCAGGACAGACAGAGCCAAGUUGCAUUCACAUUACAAAUCAUUCAAUCAGAUCAGCAAAUGGGCAAUCAAUAUACCUCAAAGGUUCCUUUUUCUCCAUCUAUAAAUAGGGGUUACUCACACUUCACUCAUCCAUCCCUCCAGCAAACAAGCUUCUUUUGAGUCUCUCAUUGCUUCCCAGUUUUCAUUCCCCUAAAGUAAUGGCUUACUCCAAGACGUUUCUCCUUCUGGGUCUUCUAUUCGCUGUUGUCCUUAUCCUCUCCUCUGAGGUGUCGGCCAGAGAGCUAGCCGAGGCUGCACAUACCCGUGAGUUUCCCACUUUUUUUUACACACUUGUUAUAUCAAUUUACAGCUGAUGUACUGUGACUAAUUCAACUAAUCCAAUUUUUUUUUUUUGUUCUAAUGACAGAAGGGAGUGUGGAAGACGCUAAGUCCUGGGGACAUGGGCAUGGCCAUGGACAUGAACACGAGCAUGGCCACUGGGGACAUGAACAUGGGCACGGCCAUGGGCAUGGGCAUGGGCAUGGACACCACGGCCAUGGUGGUGCUGGUGAGACUGUGGAGAAUGAAACUGAAGCUGGCGAGAAUUAGAUAGCAUUUCUAGCUGCUGUAUUUUCACGCCCAUGGGUGGAAGUAGGUUGUGUGGUUUAUGUGAGUUUGUAUGUGAAUAAGGCAUGUGCUUGUCAGUGGUUGCCACCAAUGUUCCUCUAGGAAGAUGGUUGUGUUGCUUUGACAAGAUGUUAAAGCAUGUGUGAAACUUGCAGAUGUCAACUUAAUUAUUGUCCUGAAAUUAGAACUUUUUCCAAGUCCUUUGUCUCUAUAAGCAAAGUAAGCAAAAUAAGUAAGGUAAAAGCAGAAAGAUCAAACAGGAUUUCUCUGCAUAAUUAAGUAUCUCCAUUGAUCUUUUUUAAAUGAAGACUAAAUAUUUGUGGGUUCAGACCUCUUUACAGGUAUUUGUGGGUUCUUGAUUUCAUUGUUCCAUAUGCUCUUACUUCUCAUUGAAAAAAAGUUUUAAGUUAAAUUGAUAAUUAAAUAAUAAGUUUUAAGAUAAUAGAAUUUAAUUUAAAAUUAAUGAUCUUAAAUCAUUAAAUAUUAAGCAUGACCAUAUUAAUCCCACCAAACAAAGUAGUUGGCCAUAUAUGAUUUGCGUUUACCCAUAAUUGAAUAUUGAUUAAAUCAUGUUUAAUAUAGUGAAAUACGUAGAUAGAAAUGAACAAGUAUAGUGAUACAGCUUUGUUCUAAUAGACAUAACAAGGAAAUGAAUACAAAUAGUAUUUUCACCAUCAUAUUGUACAAAAUCAAAUACGUGGGAGAAUCCAUCCAAAGGAGCAACACAACAGAGUUAGCGAUAAGCUUGAAGAACACUUGUAAAGUUGGUGGACAUAAGGACAAAUAUAAGAUGACGUGAGAGGGGACAUCAUCAUUUUUGUAUCUGUCACGUGAGUAAAGUCGAGUCAUAAAGAAUGCUGCCCAAUAGAUGUAGGGCACCAGCCCAUAAACUGCAUGCAUAUGAAGUUGAAUGUUAAAGCUCAACCCCAGCACCUAUCAGCUAUGGGUCGGUCACUCAAUUUUUUGGGACUGGGUGAAGUGAGCAGGGACGUAUGCGAUGCAUAGGACAUGGUUGGAUAUUAAUUUGCAUGAAAUUUUUGAGCUCCAAGCCUGCAACUUGAUAUGGUAAUAUGUAAACACUGAAAAGGAAAUGUUAAACUAACAUAUGAUAAUUACCAAGCAAAAGAUUUGGACCGUUUAAGAGGAGACUAAAAAUAUGUAUGUGCAAUUCCCUGAUUGAUGAUAUCUUUAUAAUAGGUAUCGAAAAUGGUAACUACGUAGAUCCAAAGAAUUAGGAUUAGAGAUGGCAUUACGGCAACUUAGCUUUAUCCUUGCCCACUUCAUUUUGCAGUACUCUACAGAGAAGAACAAAUUAAGCUGGUCCUAUCCUACAUCGACAUGGUAUUCGGGCCACUACCCCAUGUAAUAGCAUAUUUUGUCCAGAUGGCAAAUUUUGAUGGCUUACAAGAAUUUGUGAAACUUCUUUUGUGGCUGCUAUUGCGGGAAAUUAAUCAAAUGGGAGCAUUGUGGGCUGUCUGAGUAUAGUUUUUCUACAUUUCCUUUUCUACACUUGUAUCCAAAAAUCACCUUCUCUGGUAUCCUUCUAUUUGAGGACUCCCGAGUACUUUUUCUUCUUUCCCAACACCUUAUCCCUUUCUCAACAUUAAAAGCCAUAGUCUGGAGUUCAUCAGGGUUGAAACCCUCCAAGUUUUGCAACCCCACAAAGAGGGGGAGCUUGCAAAUCACAAGACUAUUAUUUGUUAGAUUAAUUAAAGCUGAUGAAUUUUAACAUGUUUUGUGAUUUGGGUGUAGAUUAAUUAUAUGAAGGAGGCAUCAAAAGUAACAGGUUGAAACAAACCGACAAGCCACGUCUCUAGAAUUUCUUUAAUGGUAUGGUUAGACAAAAUCUUCACUCUGACACACCAAGAUGAGAACGUGUACCCAUUCACAAUAGGAAUCAUUCAAUCGCGUCAGAAAAUGGACAAUCAGUCUCUCUGAAGCUCUCCCUUUUUCCAUCUAUAAAUGCGGGUUACUCCCACUGCACUCACUCAUCCAUCCCUUGAGCAAACAAUCUUCUUGUGAGUUUUUUUCAGUCUUCGUUCCCCCAACAAAAUGGCAUACUCCAAGGUUUUUCUCCUUCUUGGCCUUCUGUGUUCUGUCGUUCUUGUCCUCUCCUCUGAGGUGUCAGCCAGAGAGCUAGCUGAGGCUGCUCAAACCCGUGAGUUCCCCACUCUUUUAGACACUUUGUAUGCAUCACUUGCUACUAUGCACAUUCUCUUGAGCUGCACAAUAGCACAUGCCAGUCAAUGGUGUUUUUGCUCUAACUGAUAGAUUAACAAAUAAGCAAAGUACCUUUCUAAUUAUAAUUAAACCAUGGAUAUAUCUUGGAGAAUUUCCUCACCACUCCUUAGCAGAAUCAAUACCGUGACUAACUAAUAACGCCCGGCCUUUUUUUACUCUUUCUAAUGGUAGAAGGGAGUGUGGAAGAAGCUAAACACUGGGGACAUGGACACGGGCAUGGACACUGGGGACAUGGACAUGGGCAUGGUCAUGGCCACAGGCAUGGACACCAUGGCAAACCCGGACAUGGUGGUGCUGCUGAGACAGAGGAAAAUGAAAGUGAAGCAGGCGAGAAUUAGGCAGAAGCACUUCUAGCUGCUGUAUGUGCACGCAUACACCGUGCAAAUAAGGUUGUGUAAUUUACGUAAGUUAGUGUGUCAAUAAGGCAUGUGUGAUCAGUGGUUGCCACUAGAGUCCCUAAGUAAGAUGGAUGCAUGGGUUUGCCAAAAAUAUUAAAGAAUCAUUAUGUUAGUUUAUUAGCCUGAAAUGAGAACUUUCUCAGGGCUCCUUUGCAUCUGUUUUUGGCUUUUAAUACCAAGAAAAAAGUUAAUGAAGCAGAAAGAAUAUGGAAAUUCAACUUAACCAAUUUGCCACGUCUCUAAAUUUUCUCCAUUUUCUUCCUUGACAUGACUCAAACAUAUGAGAGAAAACGUUGAUUAAUUCUCUUUCACAUGUAGCUAAGGACUUGGCGUAAUCUCAAUGGAAUAUUCCAAUUCACUAGAUACCUCUAAAAUUAACACUUCCGAAUCAAUCAUGUGAACCCACCGGACGGUCUCUUACUCUCCCAGUCAAUACAAAUCAUUUUAGCAGUCUUUUACCUUAUUUUAUGUUUUGAAAAUGGCUUUCUCUAAAGCUUCUCUUCCUCUUGGCCUUAUGAUUGGUGUUGUGUGUUCAUCAUCUCCUUUGGGUUUUCAGCUUGGGAGUUAGCUGAUGCAGCAGCCCAAACUUAAAGAAUCUCUAUGAAUUGUUUUUUUCAACAGGCUCAAUGAUAUCCUUUUAUAUAUAAUUUAACAUUUUAUUUUUAAAUCAUGAAACUCUGAAGGAUGCCAAUUAGUAUGGUGGAUAUGGACAUGGCUACCGGCACCAUGGCCAACCUGGUCAUGGUGGUGCUGGAGAGGAGAUGGCAGAUGAACCAGAAGGUCGCAGUUAGAUUGUUCAUCCUUAUUGGUACAGUACAACAACAUGGGGUGGAUGAUUCAGCAUAGCUGGGCUUUAUCUCUGUGUUUUCUCAUGUUGUUUCUAACCCUUUGUGCAAUAUAUUUGAGUGCAUAUCAGCGCAUGAUAUAUGCAAAAUAAUCAAAGUAAAUGUUGCUGCUUGUGAGCGUCUCUUGUCAAAGUAUAUAUAAGAAAAUAUAUACUUGAAUAGAGAUUAGUUAGUGAGAAUCAAGUUUGAAAAAGAAUUAUGAGGUUGUUUGAUGUGAGGACAAAUGAAAGAACAAUGACGUGAGAGGUGACGCAACCAUAAGCAUGAUAUAUACUAUAGGGCUUAGGAUGCAUCCCCAUGUAGAAAUGUAGGGCCCCAAGUCCCUGAGUUGCAUGUGAGGUUUAACUUAGAGCUCAAAGCCAAGAGCCAUCACGCUCACCCUUGGGUCACUCAGCGGUAUUCUCUUCAGGACUUCGUGACGUGAGGAGGGACGUAUGCAAUGUACAUGAUUGGUCGAAGAAUUUUGUUAUCCAAGAGAUCAUUCUGAAGAAUAUCUUUGAACCACGAUAUGACAUGCUAAUAUCAUUGAAGUUAAAUCAGCAACUUUCUAAAAAUAUUGGUAAAAAAAAAAAAAAAAGUUAAAAUGAUCAUAAAAUUUUCAAUUUAUUUCCAUAAAAAGAUCAUUUAAAAGCUUAUUUAAUAAUUCUUAUAAUUUUUUUAAUAAAAUUUGAGAUUUUUUUUCUUCCAAAUAAGUAUAAAAUCUUUUGAAAGUGAUGAAAUAUUUUACUUAGAAAUUAUCUAUUAUAUAAAAAUAUGUCUAACAUAAUAAAUGUCUUGAUAUCUAAACUUUUAAUGAAAUGAUGUAUCGAUUAAGAAUUUGAUAUUUAUCAUUCUCUAAAGUUCAAAUGAUCAUGAAAAAUUUUGAAAUUUUCAAAUGAUGGAAGAGAAUAUACCAUGAAAAAAUUAUUUAACAAAAUAUAAAAUACAAAAUGAUAAAAAAAAAAAAUUAUAAGAUGGAAAAAAAUUCAGAUAAGGUUAGUAUAUAAGAAACAAAGUGAUAAAAAUAGAAUAAAAGAAAACAAUAAAUAAAGGUGUUAUUAUAUUUCCUCUUUAAUUUUAUUUAACUUAACAAAGUAAAGAUUAAUUUCACUCAUUUAGAUUAAGUAUAUUAAGUUGUUGAUGUUUGGAUUAAAUAUACUUAGUUAUUAUUAACCUAACAUUUGGGUAAAUAAGGAAAUACAAAUAAAUGAAAUAACAAAUAAAUAGGAUUACAAAAUGUAUUUGAUGAAAUUUCAAAUUUAUGAUGAUUAUGUAUAAUUCAAACCUUAAGAGAGGAGAGUGAAAUUAAUUUUAUAAAAUAGAUUUAUUUUUAUUUUUUAAAAUCUCUAGUUAUAUAUAAGAAUUUUCUUUCUUUUUUUAAUUUAUGGGGAAUAAUACAUAAGAUGUUUUUUUUUUCUUACAUACCAAUUUUAUUUGUCACCUAUUAUGUUGAGUUGUCCGAAGUCUAAUUGUAUUGUAUAUUGGUUCCAAAUCACUAUCCUCUUGUCACCUAACUUGAAGUUGUACAUUUACCAAAUCAUCACCUAACUUAAAGUUGUACACUUAACUAAUCUAACUAAAAUACUUAAUCCUUAAUGAAUACCACAAUCAUCUUAAAAAAUCUUCUACAAAAGCUACGAGUCUCUAGAAAGUCUCUAAAACUAUACGACAGAAAACCCAUGAGGCAAGAAGCUUAUAAAAAGCCUUUAAAUUCCUUCAAGUGAGGAAAGAGAUAGAGAGUUCCAUCUCCAAGCAGAACCACCUUCAAAUAGUUUGAGAAAAACCUCCACAUCUGAAAAAAUUUGCAAAAACAUAGAAAGACUAUUGUAAGUGUUGAGACGUCAUUUGUUUUUAUUUUUGGCUCUGGCCAGCCGUACCACCGAACUGUACCAGACGGGGGCAUCACACCCGGAAUGGGCCAGGACCAGAGUGGCCUCCCUAGGAUUCGAAUUCAAGACUAAGGUCUUUUUGGUUGCACUUCUGGUACCAUUUGAGCUACUAGCUCUUGAGUUCGAAUCCUGGGGAGGCCACUCUGGUCCUGACCCAUUCCGACUGUGAUGCCCUCGUUUGGCACAGUUCGGUGGUACGACUGGUCAGAGCCAAAAAUAAAAACAAAUGACGUCCCAACAGUAAGCACAAGAAUAAUGAGAAGUCACAUGUCAUUCAAUUUUUGUUUUGCACCAAAGCAGAAGAAAUAAAAGAAAACAAUUUCUUGGAAGCUUCAUAAUCAAGGAGCUUACAAAUAGCUUCUCCCAACCAAAUUAAAGAGGGCAAAUCCUUCUCCUCUAUUGAAUCCCUCUCUAUAUCCACUAAACAGAUGAAUAAAAAUUCAGUUAGUCAUGAAAGAAUUUUAGUACCUUCAUACGCUUUCUUGUAAUUGUAGAUCAAUUUUUGUAGUUAGAUAGAUGAAUCAAAUGGUUCUAGUCAAUUUUUAAGUGAUAUUUUAAGUAUUUUAUGCAUGUAUUAAUUUAUUCUAAUUUUCAUAUUAUAUAAUAAGUUAUUAAUUAGGACAAUUGUUUUUGGUUCUAGUGAAUUUUUAAGCGAUACACAUGUCUCCAGGAAACUGGAUAUCUCCAGAAAAGAUUUUAAGUUCAAUCCUUUUUUUUUUUCUCUCCACUCGGACCAAUCCACUUACUCGGCUUCUUGUAUUUAAAGUGAUUCGUGUAUCUACUCCAAUGAUACUAUUGUUCCGUACCAUUAUGGAAGCAGAUCCGGGUAAAAUAUGCACUUCCUCGGGAAUGAAAAAAAAUCGAUCUACUUUCAUUUGGUAUUUUGGCUUAAAUUCUUUGACUCCUCGAUAUUCAAUCAAAUCCUCUUUUUUAACGAUUGAAUGCGCCUCUAUAGUCCCAUAUUUAGUAUUAGUUUAUUCUAAUUUUCCUAUUAUACACUAAAUUAUUAGGAUAAUUGAUUUUAUGAAUAGGAGUAAAGGCAAUUAUUGUAUUUUGUGGGAUCAUUUUGCAUACUCUUUUAUUAUAGUGAAAAAUAGUAAAGUGUACGUAACUCUUAUUAAGAGGAAACCGCUAUAAGUCCUAUCUAUGCUUUACCUAUUCCAUGCAUGACCCACAUACCCAUUCUCAAUCCUUCAUGUGGGAUCGAAUUUAAUCAUAGCAGUUGGCAAGAAAAAUAAUUCUCUCUAACCUCUUUGUUAUAAGGUUACAUUAAUGACACAAUAGAGUGCUUCAAUUAGUUUUUCUUUAACAAUCCAUUAACGUAUCGACAUGAAUAAGGAUCAAUGGAAGAGAUGUGAGCAGGGACGCAACCAUAAUAUAGGAAUUAGAAUCUAGUACCUAAUUAAGCCUUUGAAAUGAAUGCAAGUUAAGGAUAAUUUAAGUUCAAAUUAACCCAGCCAAGGCCUAUCUCCUAUGGGUUACUCAAUACCAUUAUUUGGGAUAUAUGCAAUAUCAUUUCCUGAUCAUUGAAGGAAUUCUGUAAUCAAAGAUAUUAUGAUGAUAUUUUUGAACUGCAAUAGGAUAAAGUAAUGUCAUAUUGUGGAGAAUUUUGAAUUAAUGCGUGCAAGCUUAGUGAUGUUUGAUAAUUGUUUUUUAAAACAGUUUUAAAAAACAGUUGUUAAGAAUAAUUUUUUAAAAUUGUUUUUUAAAGUUCUGUGGAAUAAAAGUUUGUUUGAAAAUUUAAAAUGUUUUUAACUUGUUUUUAAUAUUUUAAACAUGUUUUAAAAAUAAUUUUUAUAUAUAAUACUUUAUUUUUAAUUAUUCUAUAUAUUUGUAUAUUUAUUAUUUUUAAAUAAUUCUUAAAAAAUAAGGGAAAAUAAAAAAAUAAUUAAAAGAUAUUUUUUGAAAAUACCAUAUUUUAUAUUUUUAAUUAAAAUAAAAAAUAAAAAAUGGUUUUUAGUUAUUAAAAAUAUUUUUUUUUAAAAGAAAAAUUAUUUUUGAAAACAAUUAUUUAUAAGCAGAAAGAAAAAAAAAUAUGUUUUUUUAGUGUUCCACUAUCAAAAUUCUAACUAUAUAUAUACAUAUGUUUGACCUCCCUAAAUAUCGAAAUAAAUGCCCACCAACAGGAUAUUGGUAGGUGUAUAUAGUACAUCUAAAAGAACAAGUAAUUGAAACUUUUUUCCUUUUCCCUGAUUUACUCUCUCUUUCUCUCGCCUUCCAUUAUGAACUUUUGAAAUAGGUUUUUGAGAGAGCUAAGAAAAUUGAAUCCCACGAACGUGAGAGUCCCAACAAAAGUGACUUCUGGCAAAACCAUGUGAAUAAAAGCUUUACUGCUAUUUUUGGUUUAUUCUUUGGAGCCUCAUUCUACAGUCCACAGAAGCCCGCAAAAGUGGUUCUACACCAACAUAUUACUAGCAAUUACCAUGUGAUUAUGGAACCUCUUUUGUGGCAGUAAACGUAUUGUGGGUUGUGAAGUAUAAGUUUUUUGCUGCAUCCUGGGCUUUCUGGACAGUCUCAACUCCAAUAUAUACACAUAAGGUUCAACUUUAAAGGCUAUAAAAUAAGGUUUAAAAAGUACUUAUAACGAUAACUUGUUCUUAAGGUUGUACAGAUUGCUUCCUACAAACAUAGAUACAUGGGAUAAAUAUUUGGUGUUUAUGCAUAAAUGGUAUGGGCUCUUUAGACAAAAUGUUGAGUUUUACUCAUAGAAGGCAAGGGGCAUUUACACUACAAAUCAAUCAAUGGGACCAGAAUGUAGACAAUCAAUCUUUCAACUUCUCUUUCUAUGCAUAUAUACAUAGGGGGUCUUCACGAUGCUUGCACUCACCCAUAAAUCCCCUAUCCAACAAUGUCCUUUUGAGUCUCUCCUUAGUCUCCUAAGAAAAUGGCUUUCUCUAAGGCUUUUGUACUCCAGGGCCUUCUCUUUGCUGUUCUUCUCAUCCUCUCUAAGGUUUCAGGAAGAGAGAUAGCUGAGGCUGCUCAAACCCCUGAGUUUCUCGCAUUCUUAAACCUUACUUUUUGCCUUUCAUCUUUGAAUCUUUGCCACCAUGCAUGCGCCCACAUAGUCUUGAUCAGCACAGCACACCCCAAUGCCAGUGAAUGGUGUGUAAAAUGUUCACCAACUUUUCCUAGUGUCUCACAAUAUUUGCAAGCAUUCCAGUUGAGGCUUUCUGCCAAAUCAAGAGCCUCUAGUCCUGUACAUCAUGCCACGGAGGACAUAUACUUGCUCUUGAUUUAAGAAACCUUUAAGAAUAGGCAUCGAAGAAUGUUCUCUCUAAAUUGCCUUUGUGACAGGUUUAGUUUCAUCAGUGUUUAGUUACAACUUUUCCCCUACACAUUUGAGGUUUCAGAUUUUCUUGGCUGAGAAAAAUCAAGUAAUAGUUCAGUGAAUACGAAGAAAAUCUUUCUCUAUAACCACACAGCGAAUAACAGAUGAGAAUCUUGGAAUUUCCCUUGCCACUUCUCAACAGAAUCAAGCACUGUGGCUGAUUCAACCUUUUUUUUUUUUUUGUUUUCCUCUUUCCAGUGACAGAAGGAAGUGUAGAAGAAGCUAAGAACUGGGGACAUGGAUAUGGACACGGGCGCUGGGGAUUUGGAUAUGGACAUGGACAAGGCCACUGGGGAUUUGGACAUCGACACGGCCACCGGGGACAUGGACAAGGGCAUGGCCAUUGGGGACACGGACACGAAGGCAUACCCGGACACAAUGGUGCUGGUGGGAAAGUGGAUUUUAGCAUAUUAGCCUAUUUUCUUUUUGUUAUUUUUCAUUUUUGUUAAUACCUAUAGUUGGUGAGGUGUUUGUUUUUUUAGAUGAGCUUUACAGCUCCAUUUGCGUGAACUUCUGUGAGGUAAAGCUCUUUAGCUCCUCUGUUUUCUAUCCCUGUACAACAAUCAAUCAAGGAAAGAGAAUCAGUCAAUUUCUCUCCAUUUUCCCUUGUAAUAGUGAAGAAGGAAACCGAAGCUGGUCAGAAUUAGAUAAAACACCCCAGUUGCUGCAUUUGCACAACUACUAUAACGUCUGAGGUUCUGCUGUUUAUAUAAAUUUGUAUAUAAAUAAGUCAUGUGGUGAGGAGCAGCAGCCACAAUAUCCCCUCAAGAAGAUGGUUGAAUUAGUUUGCCUAGCUAGACCUUCAAGCAUGUGAAAAACUAGCACAAAAGAAAAGAUGGUCGGUAAGUUGGCAUUUAAAGACUUAUCCCAUUAAAAGAAGUCGGCCCAAGCGCAGCUUGCUGAAUGAUUUUCUUUACUUGGUUCCUAUUCAACUUCUUUACAUACUGAAAGGGAAUAUUUGUGCCAAAACCACCCUUCCCCAAAAUGGUUCAAGUGCAAUAAAAAUGUGUUCAUAGGAUUCCUCACAGUUUAUGAAAACUUUUAUUUCAAUGGUUCAAGUAAAAUAAAUUGGUCAUUUUGGCCAUUAAAUAUUGACCAAAAUGAUUCCUUUCACCACAUGCUUUUCUUUUUAUCUUUUUCCUUAAAGGCCAUCUUGUUCCGAAAAAUACCUGGAAAAGAAAAAAAUUAUUAAUGAAAAUGAUUUUCUCAUAUUUUGUUUCAUUAUAAAAAUAUAAAAGAAAAUAACAUAUAACUAAAAUUAAUUUAAAAUUUAUAUAUUUUUAAAUUAUUUAAUCUUAUUAUAAUAGAGAAAAAUAAGUAAAAUGAGUUUAAAGAAAUAUAUAAAAAUAAUUUAUUAAAUUUAAACUUAUUUUUAUUUUCCUUCACUUUCUUUUUCUUCUCUAUUUUCUUUCCUUCGUGCUUUCCCUCAAAUUUUCUUGAAACCAAACAUAGCCUAAAGAAAUCAGUUUGAAACCACAUCUAGAAAUUGUGGUUUUUAGUACAAAUUUAGAAAUUCCUCUAUCAGCUUUAAUAUACAUUUGGAAACUAGGUUUUUAAUUUUUUUUAAAAAGGGCUUUAUAGUCUUCUGUGGAUCACCUUGAGGCUUCAAUAUUUUAGGGACCCAAGAAAGACUAUGACUAAGGGAUAUGAUUCGCGGAACCAGUUUUCAAAGUAAAAUUAUGUUGUUUUUUCAAUUGAUCUUGGGGAACUGCAUCUUCAAAAACGAUUCAAGUGUCUUUUUGGCUUUGGAAACAGGAAAAAUAAAUGAUGGUGAAUUGUUUCCACAUAUCAAGAGAGGGGCAUAUAGAUAUAUAAUUCACUCACUCAUCCAUUUCCUCGAGCAAAUUGAUCAUCUUCUUCUGAGUCUCUUCUUAAUCUUCAUUUCCCAAAGAAAAUUGCUUACUCUUGAGACAUUUUUCCACAUGGCCUUUUGUUUGUUGUUAUGAAGUGCCUUGUUUUCUUUAGAGGAAGGGGCUUUGAGGUUUUCGAGGUCAAGGCUGAUAACGGGUGCUUCAUGCAGUUAUGGUUUGAAACUCUAUGUCACUUGUGUAGCAAGGGGGAAGCCAUAAGGUGGGGUUGUGAGUUCUAAUGCUAGCUAAGUGGUAGAGGCCAAGGCAAUAGAGUUUUGCAUUCUUAUACCCUUAAAUGAAUUAUCAAAGGAUGAGCAUUUUGGCAAUGUGAUACAAAGACAGUACGACCCUGAAGAUUGCACUAGUGUGGGGUAGCACAAGGAUUAAGUUUGAUUAUAGCUGACGGAUUGACUACAAAUAUAUUCUGGCCAUGAUUACAUGUUUUACAUUUUAAACAUCUCUUUAAAUGUUAUAUUAUGAUAACUUUCGUAUACUAACUUUAUUAUAUGAUAUGUCAUGACUGUUCAAUGGAUUUCAAUUCACUCUAUUUAAUGGACAAGAAGCAAAUAGGUUUACUUAAAGGUUGAGCCAAAGUUAGUUCCCAAGAGUGAGCCUUAAAGCAUGUGCCUAUUGGCUUAUUUGGUUAUCCUUAGUUACAUUGGGCAUGUGCCUUUGAGGCAUAUUGCUAAUUUGAGGUUGUACCUGUCCUUAAAACUUUGUUAAUGCUAUGGUCUUAUGCUUUUAUUUUCUUUUUUAGUAGUCUUUGAUUUUGCUUCACAGCAUGCCUCUUACCUUCAGCUACAAACUCCAUCUUCAUUCCAUAAACUUUCCCUUUUAUGAUCUAAAACAUUUAUAGUGAUAUAACUAACACUUCCAUACUCAAUAGACACAACUAUUUUUUGUUAGAUGGAAGAUGCUGAUUUCAUUUGAAGAAGUAACUGAAUAAUUUUUGACAUACAGUAUGAUCCACUAAUAUCCAAUCUAAAAGAACUGAAUCCCCAGAAAGUGAGUUCUCACCAAAAGUGAAAUCAGGCAGAACCAUGAGAGAAAAAACUUCCCCAACUUGAAAAUUCCCCAGAAACUUCUACUUUGCUGCUAUCUUUGGUCUUAUCAUUUGGAGCUUCAUCCUUCAGUAUAAAGACAAGAACAAAAGUGGUCCUAUACCAUUAUAUUACAAGCCAUUACCAUGUGAUAUUAAUGUUGGCGAAACGUCGUAUUUUAUGGAUUACGAUAAAUUCAGAAACUUCUUGUGGCUAUAGUUGCAUUGUAGGUGGUGAUUGGUGGAGUAUAAUUUGGCUACAUCUGGAUUGCUUGGAUGGUUCCAAGAUUGGGACUCAGGAGUCUUCCCUCAUUGCAGGCAGGGGCUCUGAACUAAUUUGAAAAGGUAUUUCAUCUUUGUAUAUACAUUUUUUUCCUGAAGAUUUCCAACAUGUUGGGACAAAACACAUAAAACAAGUCUUCACUAAGUGUGUUAGAAAAGCUAUUGAAAAUAUGCUUCCUUUUUCUAUCUGGUAUCUCAAUUAGUGUUUUUAGUACUCCCAACUUCCGCUUUUUGGCUUAUAAUUAACGCAUACUUUAUGAAUUAACUUAACUCCAUUGAACAAACUUUCCCCACUGCAUUAAAUGGAGUUUGCAAGCCAUGAGGCUUAAAGAAAAUUCAUUUGAUUAACUUCUGUAAUGGUGUGGUCAUGUUAGACAAAAUCAGGACUUACACAACAAGACAGCAAGUGAAUUAGCAUUGCAAACUAAUUGAUGAGAUCACGAAAGGGAGAAUUGGUUUCCCUGAACAUCUCCCUCAUUCAUUGAGCUAAUAAUCUUCUGUUAAGCAAAUAAAGUUUAGUUUAUCUCAGUUUGGUAUAAAAUCCAUACUUUUAGGUAUAUCAAUGGGUCAGAAGUUCCAAAGUUCCCUCUGUUUUGGUUCUCUGUUUAUGAACUGUCCCAUUUGAGGCUCUGCUUAGCCAGAGGAAGUGCCAACUAAUGCUGAGCUGCUGCUCAUGGCGAAGUUAACUACCCUAACAGCUAAAGAAUAUGAACUCCAAUAGAACAUCAACACACCUUUAAUAGCACCAUAUUCUUCAAUAUGAUAUUAAAAACUCUGUAGUUUUUCUCAGAUUUAAGAGCAUUAUUCUAUAUCCUAUCUGCCUUACAUCUCUCUCAUAACUAAACCAACCCAGAUUUGCCACCAUACUGUCUCCUGUCUUGUGGCUAAACCAAACAAUAAGCCUGUCACUAAGAUCAACCACCCUGAAAUACUGAUUUAGCCCAUGGUUUGUCAUCUUCAUAAACCUGAAUAACUGCCCAAUCGAUAGAGGAGAAGAUCACUGACUGCUGCCUGCAAAUUCUGAGUAACCUUAAUUUUUGUUGUUGAUCAAACAAUUCCAUACAAUAAACCAUCCAUGGCCCACCAAAAUAUGCAAUUUUUAAUCCCUGGUUUGCCAUCAACAUAAUUUGUGAGGAUAUAAAAGUCAUUAUCUUAUGUCGUUUGGAGAACUAAGUCAGAGAUUUUUCAACAUUGUUGCAUUGAAUGGGGGUAUCUUUUCCCUAACAAGCUCAAAAAAAAAUUUAAUUUCUCCAACGACUCGGUCGAUGACCCCGGCUCUUAUCAGUGGCGGAAAAAACAGCCAGAAGCUGGUAACCAUCACGAACCCCACGGUGAGCGGCGCCGAAACAGCCCAAUGCAGCCUCCACCGGCCUGAAAACAGUGACUUGAGACCAAUCUCCACCACCACGCACAGUCCAUGCAGUACAAAGAAGCACGUCAUUUCCCACGAGGGGCUCGCACGUAUGACGUAGUAGAACAACAACUCGUGCACCAAACCGGAUACCACAAACGUCGCCACCACCGCCGGCAGUGGCGACAACUGUCUGCUGACCACCUUCUCCGCCGCAGAUUUCAUGGGCUUAUAUACUAUUUGGCGCAGCAGAUUCGUUACCAUGAGGUUCCACCUCCGUCCCCAGAAGUCUUGCAGGGAAGUUGACAAAUACGGCUCGUCCGACGGCUGCUCCACCUCCAGCCCCACCAUGGACUUCACCAGUGAGUUGCAAAGACUGAAAACAAUCUCUAUAAACAGAAAAACUUGGCAACAAAGCACGCCCAAGAAGAUAUUGGGGUGUAUUAGCUCUUUAUAGUCAUACAACCCGAUGAAAAGACCAAAACCCAAAACUUUGACUGCAAAAUUCAGAGGCAAUUUCGGGGGUUUAUAUGGGUGUUGCUGAUUUUGCUUGAUUUUGAUGGGGAGACAAGCAAUGAUGAUGAAGAUGGGGAGAGACUUUGGUCGGCCGGUGACGAGAGGGCCUAAAUCAAAGGAUAAGAGGGCGAGUUUGAAAGUAGCGAGCCAGGAUAUGAACAAGGCGGUGAAGCCGGAGAGAAGAAUGGAUGAGAAAAGGGAAGGAAGGGUGACAAAAAUGGAAAAGAUUGGGAGGAGAGAAAGGAGUCUGAGCUUGCCUUUGGGGAUUUUUGAGACAAUGAAAUAGGCGUAGCAGAGAGAUGCAAGAACAGAGAGACAUACCGUGAUCAAGCUCCUGAUAUCGCCUUCCAUUUUCACUAGAUUUUUCUGCUGUUAGAUCUUUUUUAUGGUGUCAAUAUAUGCUUUUGGAGUGUGGAUGGAAGGUUGGGUCUGUUGAUCACCAAUGGGGGAGUAGACAAUGGCGUCUGGGCCUCUACUUUCUUGUCAUCUCUUUUAUGGAAUCGCCUUUCUGACCCUCGAAUACCCUCUGUCGGAGAACUUUAUUCUUGAAAUGAAAAUCCUUCCAUAUUUUCCGGAUUUAACCUCUUGUCAGAAAAUCUCUUCUUUCUCAUGUAAAAGAUAUGUAAUAAAAUUACACUUUUAUUUUUAUUUUUUAUUUUCAUUUUACAAAUAUUAUGUAGAAAAAAAAAAUCAUAACCAAAAGUUAUAAAAAUAAUGUAUAAAAUAUGUAAAAUCCUCAUUAUGAGAACGAGAAGUUAUAUGAGAAAUUACAAAGUUAAACAUAGUUAGAAGUUAUUCAUGUAAUUUUUAAUCUAUUAUAUAAUUUUUAGUUAUAAAAACAAAAUUAUAUAGUCAAAAGUUAUAUAAUGAAUAUUUCACUGUUAUAUAAAUUUCCUUAUUUUUAUUAUGACAAAAUAAUCUAUUUCGUUAAUAUUACUUAAUAUUAAUGCAUUUUUUAAUAUAUUUAUAAUAAUAUUAUAGCAAUAAGAUAUUGCAAAAUCUUAAAUCAUUAUAUUUUUAUCCAUAAAUAUUACUUAAUUGGUAAAAUAUUGCUAGAUAAUUUAUUCAUUUUUGUAUUUCAAUAAAUUGAAAUAUUAUUCCAAUUAAAUUAUUUCAUAUAUAGUUUUCAAAUAAUGUCAAACCUUACCAAACUUGAAUUUAUUGCCCUCGAUAUUUAAGGCAAAAACUACUUAUAUUAGAUUGUGAAUGCUAAAAUUCACCUAGAUGCAUCUAAUCUUGGAAAUGAUAUUAAAGAAGAAAAUGAUAUAUGCUCGUGGAAUCAUGUUGAAGCUUUAAUAUUCCUUCAUCACACUAAUGAAGGAUUAAAAUGUGAAUACCUUACCUUCAAAGAUCAUUUCAUCUUUUAGAAUAAUCUAAAAGAAUAAUAUGACCAUCAAAAGAUUAUAAUCUUUCCUAAAGUAUGCUAUGAUUGGAUGUAUUUGAAAUUACAAGAUUUCAAGUUAGUGACUAUAACUCAAUUUUAUUCAAAAUUAACUCACAAUUAAUGCUAUGUGAAGAGAAAGCCAUUAAAAAAUAUACACUUGAAAAAAUAUUUACCACUUUUCAUGCCUCGAAUGGACUUCUAUAGUAACAAUAUCAAAAUAAUUUUUAAACUAAAUAAUAUAAAUUAAUUUCAUGUCUUCUUGUGAUUGAACAAAAUAAUGAAAUUUUCAGUCACAAUCAUGGUAGACACAAUUCUUAGCGCCAUGAUGAUUAUAAUCAUUCUCAGAAUAGAAAAAGCAAUUCAAACUACUACAAGUGGAAUAAUUCAAAAACACAACCUGAAAAAUGAUAGAACCACAAGCAAACAUAGGAUUCUUGAUAAAUAUACUGCAAUUAAAAAAAAUAAUAUUUAAAAUACCAUAGUUUGGAAAAUAAUUCCAAUUCUACGUCACUUUUAAACACGUAGGAUAGAUAUGAAAACCCAUUCCCCCCUUUCCAUUUCCCUUCCCGUUUUUCUUCUCUUCCCUUCUCGUUUUUCUUCUCUGCAUCAAAACUCCUCUGCCCGAAAACCCACUAUCCCACACGCUGAUCAUGAGGUGGAGAUCCUUGCUUCAACACCAAUAGGAAGAAAGUGAAGUACAGAUCUGAGAAACCAUUGCCCCUGGUGUUUUCUGUAAGUUUUGUGGUUAUAUUUGGUGGUGUGGUUGUGUUUGGUCACCGAGAAAGUGUGGGAAAGUUGUAAAAAAAAUAAAGUUUUUGUUUUUUUUUUUACAAUGAAACUGAGUAGACUAAAAAUAAUGGAGAAAGUUUUAAUUUUUUUUGUGGUUUGACUUGUUGUGAUUCUGUUUGGUUGCCAAGAAAGUGUGAGAAAGUUGAAAAAAAAAAUUUCCCAAUAUUUCCUACCAGUCCAGCCCGCGCACAGGGUAUCUGUCCAAUUUUUUUUUAUUAAAAAACAUAAGCUAUUUGGUAAUCUGAUCAUGAUUUGAGGAGAAAGGUGAUCAUGAUUUGAGGGGAAAGGUUGUGUUUUUCAGCGUGGCUCAAAAAUCGUGGAUUUAGGGUUUGUGAAAUUUCAAUCCAAUGGCACAAAAGCAAAGAGACCCCUGGACAGAUCCAGAAAGCACGGAGCAAAAAAAAAACAUUUUUUUGUUUGUUUUUUUAGGGGGUUUUGCAUGGACUUUCCCGGAAAGCAAAUGGGAGAUGGAUGGAUUUUCUUGGGAAUCAAACGGGGAUUGCACAGACUUGGGAAUCAAACGGGGGUUGCAACAAAAUAAAAAAAUAAUAACCUGAUUAGAUUAGUACCUACAAUAAUUGAAAUUGAAAAUUUGUUUUUUUAGGGGGUUUUCCAUGGAUUUUCCCGGAAAGCAAAUGGGGAAUGGAUUUUCUUGGGAAUCAAACGGGGAUUGCACAAACUUGGGAAUCAAACGGGGGUUGCAACAAAAUAAAAAAAUAAUAACCUGAUUAGAUUAGUACCUACAAUAAUUGAAAUUGAAAAUUUGUUUUUUUAGGGGGUUUUCCAUGGAUUUUCCCGGAAAGCAAAUGGGGGAUGGAUUUUCUUGGGAAUCAAACGGGGAUUGCACAAACUUGGGAAUCAAACGGGGGUUGCAACAAAAUAAAAAAAUAAUAACCUGAUUAGAUUAGUACCUACAAUAAUUGAAAUUGAAAUUGAAAUUUAAAUUCAAGGAGACAUUUUCAGUAUAAACCAAUUUUUUAAAAAUUAUGAAAGGUGUCCGAAUAUAAUUCCAUUUUUUUGUAAUUAUGGAAGGUGUCUCUUCAAGAGACACCUUCAGCAUAAAUUCAAAAUUUUCCACUGUUUGAAUGGAAAUUAUGGAAAGUGUCUUUUGAACAAGCACUCACAUUUCACAAUUCCCAAAAAAUGGAAUUAUAUUGAAGGUGUCUCUUCAAGAGACACCUUCUAUUAUUUUAAAAAAAUUGGUUUAUACUGAAAGUGUCUCUUUCCACAAUUUUCAUACAUUAAAGAGAGACAUCUUUAGCUUUAAAAUCAUUUCCACAAAUAAAAUACAUAUUGGAUUUUGUGGAAUUGUGUAAAGUGUCUUUCCAAGAGACACAUUUAGUAUAAAUAUAAUUUUUUGGAAUUCUAGAAGGUGUCUCUUAAAGAGACACCUUUGGUAUAAAUUAAAUUUUUUAGGAAUUGUAGAAGGUGUCUCUUCAAGAGACAUCUUUAGCUUUAAAAUCAAAUUUAUAAGACAUUCAAAUUUUUGAGGAAAAUGUCUUUUCAAGAGACACCUUUAAUGAAUAUUGGAUUUUUUGCCACGUGGAAAGUGUCUCCGCAAGAGACACCUUUAAUACAUAUUGGAUUUUUUGCCACGUGGAAAGUGUUUUUUCAAGAGACACCUUUAAUAUAAAUCAAAUUUUCUGAAAUUGUAGAAGGUGUCUCUUCAAGAGACACCUUUAGCUUAAAUUCAAUUCUUUCAUGAUUUUGAAAAUUGUGGAAGGUGUCUCUUCAAAAGACACCUUCCACGUGGCCAAAAUUGCCGUAAAUCUAUCAAUAUUUUCAAAACUACCAUUUUUUAAUUAUAAUUUUUUAAAAUUGCCGCAAAAGUUAAAAAAGCCCAGCAAACAUACUUGUGAGAAUGAAUGGUAUAAAUGUGGUAUGAAAGAACAUUUGUCAUGUACCUAUCAUACUUAAAAACAUUCGGUUGACAUUUAUUAAGUUUUGAUAAAAGCAAAAAGGAAAGAGGUUGAAAUAAACUUCAUUGAUGGUGGUGAUUGCACAAUGGACUUAACCUAUCUAGAUGUUUCACACUUCUUUGAGAAUCCCAAUGGAAAAAUUGAACAUCUAAUUAGUGAUGGAAAUGUGUGUUAUGAUUAAAUGUUAUGUUCCUAUUUAGUUCUUUGCUAGUCGAUUUACUAUGUUAUUCUCUUUUGAAUAGAUUAUCUAUAGUAUACAUUUUUUACAAUUUAUUUCACAUUUUACUUUUUACAUAUGAUCAUUUCAUAUCUAAAUUUUUUUCUUUAUUUAUAUUUGAAGAUAUAUGGAUCUCUCUUACAUUAAUAAAUUAUAAGACAUCCAUUAUGGAUGCAUGUCUCAUAGAUUACACUAUAAUACACACAAUUCUUCGUUAUAAAAAAUAUUUUUCCAACCUAACAUUAACUAAGUCUAAUGUUAAUAACAUAUCAAGUCCUAUCGACAUAAUUCAAGACUCUGGAAGAGCAACAAUUAUUUUACCUUAUGGAAUUAAAUUCUGCAUCAAUGAUGCUCUUUCUUCUACUAAAUCCAAUCAAAAUCUUCUUAGUUUCAAAUAUAUUUACUAAAAUGGAUAACAUAUUAAAACUACGAAUAAUGGUAGUAAUGAAUAUCUUUUCUUUACUUUAAUUAUUUAUGAGAAAAAACAUAUCUUGGAAAAGCUUCCUUUUUACUCAUGUAGGUUAUAUCAAAUAACUAUUAAACCCAUUAAAUCAUAUGUUCUCAUGAACCAAAAGUUCUAUGACUCAAAAACUUCUAUGCAUUGACAUGAAUGCCUUAGUCAUCUAGGAUACUAUAUGAUGCAUUGUAUCAUUAAAGUUAAUUCUUUUAGCCAUCCUUUGAAGAACCAAAAGAUUUUGAUGCCCAAUGAUUAUAAUUGUGGUAUAUGCCUAUAAGGCAAAUUAAUUAUUAAACCAUCAUUUACUAAGAUUGUAUCUAAAUCCCCAAUCUUUCUAAAAUGCAUUCAAAAUGACAUUUGUUGACCUAUUCAUUCACCUAGUGAACCCUUUUGUUAUUUUAUUGUUUUAAAUAAUGUCUCAAUUCAUUGAUCUCAUGUUUGUCUUCUUUUAACUAGAAUGUUGCCUUCACUAGGUUACUUUUUUUAAUAAUUUGACUUAAGACAAAAUUCCUUGAUCACUCUAUUAAGACAAUUUAUCUUGAUAAUGUUGAUGAAUUCUUAUCUCACACAUUCCUUAAUUAUUGUACAUUAGUUUGUAUUGAUGUUGAGCAUUAUGUUGCUCAUACUCAAAAUGGAUUAGUUGAAUCUCUUAUUAAGCAUUUGCAAUUGAUUGCUAAACCAUUAAUCUUGAGAAUAAAAUUGUCUUUGUCUACUUGGGGACAUGAUAUUCUCCAUGUUCCAACUUUAAUUCAGAUUCAUCUUACAGCUAAUUGUGAAUUCUAACCUUUAAAUCUUACUUUAGGUUAUCAACCAAAAUUUUCAUAUUUACAUAUUUUUUAGUUAUGCUAUCAAUGUUCUCAUUGCUCUAUCACAACAUUCUAAGUUAGGUCCUUAAUAUCGAUUUGGUAUAUAUGUUGAUUUUAAUUUUUCAUCUAUUAUCUAUUAUCUUAAACCCUUAAUAGGUGAUGUUUUCACUACCCACUUUGCGAAUUGUUAUUUUGAUGAAAUGUUUUCUUGUUAUUAUAGAGAGACAAGUGACUGUUAUUCUCUGUUGUCCAAAAUACUAAGCCUUAUAUCUUUAAUCAAUCAUUCAUUCAAUUAUUGAGUUCAAUUUUUCAUUAUUUUCCUGUAAGCCUUAAUCCUAGGUUUUCAUGCUAUACACUCCAAGAGAAUUCUUUAAUCUCUCAUGGGUGUGUUUUCACAAGGACAAUUCAUUAAAGAAAGAUAAAGAACCAUUCUUGAAAAUUAAAUAAAUAAAAAAUAAUAUAUUAAUUAAUAAUAAUGGGAAAAAAAACAAACAAACAAACCAAGAUCUUGACUUCAUCUUUUUCUCUCCAACCUAAAAAAAAUCCAAAAAACCUAAAAAUUAAGUUUUUAUAGUUUCCCCCAAAAAAACCUCACACGUGUUAUGUUCCUAUCGGCCACUUAUUUUACAAAUAAUUACCUAAAAAUAACUAAAUAAUAAUAAUAAAAUCAUUAUUUCUAGUCGUGUGAGGCCCACUUAAGGUAAAUAGAGUGCCUAAGAUGAAAUUCCUGAGGUGGAGGAAGUGAAACAUCAAAGUGAAAGUUUGUGAUUUCAAAAUUAGGGUCAUUUCGAAAUGGAUUUUAAAUUUAUAAGUUGAAUUUUGAAAUCAUUUUGAAAUGGUUCUUCCCACUCUACAUAGUUGUCUUCAAAUGACCAUAACUUCUUUGUUUCACCUUCGAUUUAUGCACUAUUUGAAGUUUUGGACUCCUAACUUCCCAAGCUUCGCAAUGAUGUAUAGUUUGCCCAAAAUUAACCUAAGAAAGUGCUCCAUAUUUUACUUUAAAGUUAAAGUAUGUGUUGUUAAUAGAUUUCGAGUUCCAAAUUUCCAUAUGAACUUGAUUGUAUUUUUUUCAAACCUCCUCUAUUAUGGUUGUUUUCCCUCUAUCUUACUCCAUAACAUCUAUUGCUAGUAUUUCAUACCUAUGAGUUACUCAUCAAACUUUUUCUUGGAUUCUUCGUGGUUCACAAGUCUCGAGUCUCUCAAUUAUAUAUGUUAACCCCUUUUACUUUCUUGGUUGAUAAUAACUUUUGCACUUAUCAUUUUUUUCAUCUUGUAAACCUAGAAUUAGGCUCAAAGUAGAAGUUAGAUCUAUAGUUAGGGUCUUAACAUCAAUUGGAGUUAAGUUGGAGAAUUUAAUUUUUUAUAUUGCAUAAAUCAUAUCAUAUAUGUGUUAUUGAAGCACAUAUUUUAUCUCCAAUCAACAAGUCAAUUCCAAAAGAAUAGAGAGUCUAUAUGUGGAAUGUAUCCUCUUUGUCUCAUCUUGAUUCUUGUAUAAGGCACUGUAAACUAGAAGUUCAAAGGAUUAUUCAGUUUCAAAGACUUGCAAAUUAGUUAUCUAAUGCCUUUACAGAUACAAAAAAAACA